UGUGUUUGUGUGUGGUCGUAGGCAUGGGGUCCGGCAGAGGCUAACUUGCUGGUCGGAUGGACCAGCCUACCUCACCCAAUGCCCCAUCCAGGCCGGCCAGACGUUCACCUACGAGUUCACCCUGGUCCAGCAGAAGGGCACCCUCUUGUGGCAUGCUCACGUCUCGUGGCUCCGUGGGACAGUCCAUGGAGCCAUUGUGAUAUACCCCAACACUGGGGUACCCUACCCCUUCCCCAACCCUUACGAAGAGCAUAUACUAAUCUUGGGUAAUCAUCUCUCUCUCUCUCUCUCUCAACUCUUUGUCAAAGGGUGCAUUAAGGUUACAAUUUCAAAUAUUUGAUUGUAAUCCUUUUGCGAAUUACUUUAUCACACUUGAGGCAGAGAUUUUUGUAAGAGGACUUUUGCAAGUUUUCAAAACGGUGUCAAGAAGAAGGAAAAUUAAUGGAAGCAAGAAAAAAAAUGGAUUUCAUGAUUUAAAACUUUUACGAGAUAUCAAGUAUUAUUGCACGAUCAAACACCCAGUAUUGAAAGUUAAAAUGAUAAUUUUAUCAAAUUGUCGCGAUUUAAUUGUACGUACUGUAACACAUCCCUCCAGUCUCGUGAGAUUGGUAAGGGUUCUUAAUGGAUUUGAGAGCUAAUGGGGUGUGGUCACAGGGGAGUAUUGGUACGAGGACUUGCUGAAGCUGGAAAAGAGGAUUCUUGCGAGUGGUGGAGGUGCUCCGCCGGCGGAUGCAUAUACUAUCAACGGCCACCCUGGGCCACUCUAUAACUGCUCGGAGAAUGGUAAAGUGGUCGUCUAUUCGCAUCUUAUGCAAGUUCUGUUCCUUUUUGUUGCAUAGAGGAUAAGGUGGUUCGAUAUCACAGCGAUGUGAUGAAGAUUAUAUGGCCGUGAUGGGCUUUGAUGUCACAAAUCUAUUUACCGCAGCUCAUGAAGAAUUCGUUUUAUAAUAUAUGAUCGUUUUAAAGUCUCAAAUAGGAGAGAAACAAUCUCUUCCUACCUGCGAUAACAUGAUAGACUGAUGCUGUUUCGACGCUUAUCCCAGAUGUGUACGAGAUUGCUGUGAUCCCUGGCAAGACAUAUCUUCUGAGGAUAAUAAACGCAGGCCUAAACAUGGAGUUCUUCUUCUCCAUUGCCAACCACAAGCUCACCAUAGUCGAAGCUGACGGGGAGUAUACAAAGGCCUUCACGGUGGAGCAGCUCAUGAUCACCCCAGGCCAGACCAUCAACGUCCUGGUGGAAGCCAACCAGCCCAUCGCCAAGUAUACCAUGGCGAUAGGCCCUUACAUGUCCGCCCAGAAUGUUCCAUUCCAGAACAUCUCAGCCAUGGCUCACUUCCAGUACUCUGGUGCCAGCCUCACCUCUCUGGCCCUCCCAGCGCCGCUGCCGGUCUUCAACGACAGCCUCGCCGUGAAGAAUGGCAUGGACGGGCUGAAGAGCCUCGACGCCACCAACCUCCCUAUCGAGAUCGACGCCGAUCUCUUCUUCACCAUCGGACUGAACGUGGAGCAAUGCCACUCCCUGACUCCUAACGCGAGCUGCCAAGGACCCAAUGGCGGUGUCUUCGCCGCGUCGAUGAACAACGUCACCUUUGUGAGACCCAGCAUCUCGUUGCUGCAAGCCUACUACAACAGCUUGCAUGGCCAUUAUACGGAUGAUUUCCCUGAGGUGCCAUUGAAGGCCUAUGAUUUCGUCAACGGCGCACCUAACAGCAUUCCAAAUGAUACGCAGUCCUUGAAUGGGACUAGAGUCAGGGUGCUAGAAUAUGGUGCGAGGGUGCAACUCAUCUUGCAGGACACCGGGACUGUGUCGACCGAGAACCACCCCAUCCAUUUGCAUGGAUACAGCUUCUACGUUGUAGGGUACGGCACAGGGAACUACGACCCAACGACCGCAGAGUUCAACCUCGUCGAUCCACCAUACAUGAACACGAUCGGCGUUCCGGUCGGAGGAUGGGCUGCCAUUCGGUUCAUCGCUGACAAUCCCGGUAUGGAAAAUUUUGGAUCAUUAAGCUAGCACAAUACAGUUUAUAUGGAUUGUGGUCUUUAUUUUUCAGAUGUAAUUAAUUGGUAAUAUUGCAGGUGUGUGGUUCAUGCAUUGCCACCUUGAGAUUCAUACAAGUUGGGGUCUCUCUAUGGCAUUUAUUGUGAAGAAUGGCAAGGGUCCAUUGGAGACCCUUCCACAUCCUCCAGCAGAUUUGCCCAGGUGCUGAGUUGCUGCAAGUGUGGAUUGGAUUGCUGUGUUUGGGGAUACUGUAGAACUUCGUUUUGACUUUCUAUUCUUUUGAAGCUACUUCCUUGUAUUUUUGUGCUCCAAGUGUAAAGAAAAUGGAAUAAAACAAUCCAAACAAAAUCCCCACGUUGUUCAUGAGCAAUUUAUGCACAUAUACGUACGUUCUUCAGAGCAACUCAAAGGUGCAACGUUUCCUAUAGGCCUCUCCCAAUUUUACUAGUUGAUUGUGCCAAAUUUACUAGUACAUGAGUGAAAGGGCUUUUUUUUUCCUGAUGAGGUGGAUAAUUCAUACAAUCCUCAUGUAGACAACCAUAGGUAUCAGAGUACAAAAGCUCACGAAAUUGAUUGGAAGCAAGGAUGGUGAAAUCCCAAACAAAAUUAUCCAAAUGAUUUAUAACAUCGGAAGCUACCUAGCCAGCUACAUCGUCCGCUUCUCUAUAAAUAUGUGUGUGGUUUCAAAAGAAGGCAUAGGAGAGGUAAUCUUUCAAAUAUCUACAAGAAACGAGUGACCGUCAAGUUAGGAAUUUGGUUUGGCUAUCCAAUUGAUCGCAGUACUUGGGUCUCCCUUCAAUAUGAUAUAGGUUGCCUCAGAAUGGUGGAGGGGCAUGGUAAGAAUACGGGUAUUUUAAGCAUCCAAAACAACGGAUUCAUCUCUUGGUAAUUUAUUUCGUCCUUUUGAAACAAAGUUGUAUCCAUCUCAGCUGGGAUAGGAUUUGACCCAUUUCAGCCAGUUUGGGUUGGGUUACAAAAGCAUUUCCAUUGAUAACUUGGCUACCAGUGGAAUUGGUGCUAUGCGACCAACUAUUUAGUUUUAACUCGCACAAAUUUUCCUCCACCAUCCUUCUCACUCACCAGUUGCACCCACCAUCUCUGCCUUUAGUUUGAUUUCUUAUUCUUAUUGUAUUUUGACUUUCACACUGUUAAUUAUAUGCAAAGUUCGCCUUUCAAGAUAUCUCAUUAACUCUCUUUCUCGUCUUACGGCUUAAUGACAAGCGUUUAAUAACUCUUUCCACGUAAAUCAAUAGGUUUCUCCACAUAAAGUGUAUCGAGAUAGCUUCAAUAUAUUGAAUUGAUCCAGCAAAAUUCAUACACACACCCUUAGUCCCAAUCAUUUUUCGCCCAAUUGGCUAGUUUUCAUGCAGCACCUUCUCUGAAAAAACAAAAAAUCAGCAUUGGAUCCUCUACAUUGCAAAUAUAGAAAAUUCAUAUAGCUUUAACAUGCGGUAAGUCUUAAUAACAGCGCAAAAUCUCUAUUUCUGAAAACGACGGUUUCCAUUUUCUGUAUAUAGUAAUGCUUUGAAGAAAAUUAGCCCAUGUCAUAGGCUGGCCAAAAUGGUUUGUAAGAGAUUUUUGUCAAUAUUUGGAGUUUUUUGCUAAAAUGGUUUGGAAUGAUCAAAAUAAAUGAAAUUAACAUUUGCAGGAUUUUUAAGAGAACUAGCUCGCAACCCACUAAACUCCGUAUAAGUAACAACGCUUAAAGCGAACCAAUUAUGGUUUGAAUUUGAUUGUCCAGGGAACAUCAACAGCAUUGGCUCAAGGGUCCAUCAAAUGUGGUCGAAACAAUUAUGGUUCCGGUAAUUGUUUAUAUAAUAUCCAAAAUUAUUCCUCUGUAAAAUUCAUAUCAAAAUUUCCGUGUACACAAAGUUUGUCAUCAAAUAGUCUGGAUGUGUUAAGAUGCACCGGAAAAUAUCUUUGCAACAUCUUCAAAUAGUUGGAAGGAGAGUGAGAAAAAAAAUUGCAAUUUGGAAAGUAACAACAGUAGAAAAAUCUUGACAAAUAAUCCUAAUUCAAUCAACUUUUCAUAGUAGACUGAUCAGAUAAUAUUGGAAUCUGACAAAAGGCUUGAUUUGCACUACUUCUCUAUCCCUUGAUGCAUUAGCAAAUUUCAUAUUUUGACAGCCAAUAAGAUCGUCAAAAUGAUCGCAAAAAAAACAAAAAGAGGGUCGUCAAGGAGUAGAGAAAUUGGCAUUGAUGACUUUAUUUCCAAUUGAUGGUCCCCUUUCAUCAUUGCAAGUUCCUGCUCCAACCAAAAUGACAGCAUCUGUUUGUCCAUUUAGCCCAGAACUGAGUUUAAUGGGGAAAGAUAUUAGCAGUUAUUACAGUAGUUAUCAGUCAUGAUACCAGAAAAUGAGAGAUAACAAGAAGAAAAUAAUAGAGAUAUUUGUUUGACCUACUGCCUACCAAAUAAAUAAUUAUCUUUUCCAGCCCAAAAAUGGGAUUUAAGUAUGCAAGAAUAUCAUUUUAUUUCGAUGAACAGCAAAAAUAUUAAAUAACGGCAACUGAAAUGAAAUGUCACCGAGUCCAUUAUAUACAUAAAUAACAUAAUGAGGCCUCCGUAAUGUUAAUCUUUCAAGUACAUCAAAUAAAUAUUUCAAACAAAAAAAAAAAGUGCGUUCGGUAAUUGGCAUGGCCUCCUGCCUUCAUUUCCCUUGCAUGGAGGUUGCACCAAACAAUCAAACCAACACACAGCAAGGUCUUGGAGAUGUCAGCAGAACUCAAGAGCUGGGGGCUCUAUAAGAACAGGAGGAGCAAAACUUCCUUGGGUGUCAGCAGCUGGAGGAGCUUCUUACAUUCCCUUCCAUGGAAAGGCUUCUUGCCCAAAUGAGAAUUCCAUUGAGAAAGGUACUCCGUGACUGCAAGAUCUAUCUGGGAUUCGGAAUGGAAUACUCAUUCGGGCAACAUGUCUUGCAUGGAAGGUGGCAUAAAAAACCAGCCAGAUGAAUCCAAGAGGGAAUCAUGUAUGUAGUCUUUUUUGAGCUUCUUUAAAGCUCCAUAAAUUCUGCAUCUGAAUCCAUCUGGCCUUCUCUCGGUAGUAUUGUUUGCUUGACAAAAUGCAUGCUGCUCUAUUUGAGAAUUCUUCCUCCGCAUGAUUCUAUUCUUAGGGGAAGAUCCAGAUUGGAUAUCAUUGUCACACUCAGACAAUUUCAAGAAGAACAAGAAAAUCAAAAAUUUCUAAUCAAGAAUAUUGCAAAUUCUACUUCGGAGAUUUUGGUGCACUACAAUUGUGUUCGGUGAGAGGACAUUGAUAUUAUUUAAAUUUAUUUCACACCAUAGACAAGAUUCCUUUUUUAAACAUCUAAUAUUCUCGAAACAUUCCUCGAGCAACGAUCUUUGUCUGUUGUUUAUUGACAGAUAAUAACUUAUAAUUCUUCUAUUCAUUAUGCUCACUUACUAAAAUACCUCUGGUGGCUCGAUCAAAAGAGACUGUCUCUAUACUUUGAUAUAUGUUGGUGCACAUAAAGCCCUGUACAGAAGGUCUUCUUUCGAAGUCAGUUUGAAUGGAGGAUGAUAUGAGGAACAUCUCAUCCACCAAUAGAUCUGCUGGAGUGAAGCAUGGCAAAUCAUUGGUCAACAGACAUGCCAAAGUCAAACAGCCAUCAGCAGAUGUUCGGGUAUGCUCCUCUACUUGAUUCUCCUACACAGAUCUCUGCUUUAAAUGGAUCAUGCUGCUCUUACUUUGCCUAGCUCUUCUAGUUGACACAGAUGCUUUUGAAUGUUUUGGCAUCGAAUUGCGUCAAAAUGUUUUGGCAUCAAAAUGAUGGUUGGUGUUGGCCAUAUUACUCUCCUUCCUAAAAUUUUCACUAGGGAAAUCAUUUUCCAUGAGUUAAUAUUUUGGAGGAUAUAUAACCUUCAACAGCAGGUCGUACUUUUCAGGAUCUAAAGGUUGUGUGCACUUUUUGGUUUGAAGAUCUCUAGAAUUCAUUGCAAUCCAUAAUGGUGCAUGAGCUCUUUCAUUAGCUUGAGAUUUUAGGGCUGAAAAUUGUGUAUGUGGUCCUUACAGGGUUUAGCACCCCAUUUCGAAGAACAUAAAUCAUAUCUACACUACAUUGAUACAAGUCCACGUUUGAUGCUGACCUCAUCUGUGUAUUGAGGCAGCAGGAGCAUCCCAACAUCCCCCCACAUUUAUAGGCAUACUUAGGGGAAAGAUUGAAGCAGUUACCAUCCCCCUGACAAUUCUGACCAUCACAACAAUUUCAAAUGAAAUCAAAAUCUGAAGCAAUUGAAAAAGAACUUUGCACAUAACCCUGCACAACUUCAAUACUAUAGACAAAACCCAAUUUAUUAUACUUAGAAACACACAAAUGGUAGUUUUUCCAAAAGAAACCCUUUCCAUUGACUGCGGUCAAUUUUUUUUAACUCACUUUGACUGCCAAGAAUGACAAUAACCAUUAUACUCUUCGAUGGCUUUCUAAAAGGGAAUGAUUGAAUUUCAUCUUGGAUCAUCAGAGCUGCUUGGUGUUUUUUCUUUUUUGAAACAAUCUUUUAAAAACUUGACUAAAUAUGCAUGACUAUUUUAGAGGAAUAUCAACAUAAUAUCAAUUGUUCUUUUGAUGAAGCAUUAGUGGCAAGGGUUUUCUGCAAAUGAAUGGAUUUAUUAAGCGUAUGUACAUAUUAGUCAAAAUGUGAGAGACUUACAUGUAACACAGUAGCUUUGUAGGAAUUUAAUUGGAACACUUGAUAAAGACAAAAGAAGAAAAAGAAAAAAGAGAAUCUUAUGAAUUGGAAGGAGAGAAUGCAAUGGAGUGAGAGAGAAAGCAGGUGUUCACAAAAUUAUGCAAUGGCUAAUGUGUGGAAAGCCAAUAGUGAUCAGAUUAAUGGAAGAUCUGAGCAACUAAAUAUUACAAAGAGAAGAACAUAGAGGAUACUAAUUUGAAUUUGACUUAACUUCUUUCAUCCUUUUGGAAAGAAGUGCCCAAAGGAAAAUCAAGCCUACCUUGUAGACAAGAAGUCACAGUACAUUAAUUCAAAAGUAGGUUUAAUCACACAAGAAGCCAAGUACUGUUUGUAUAUUAUGGCAUUUAAUAAAUGUAUCAUGUAAUGCUUGUAGCUUAAUUUUGUUUUAUGGAGUCCUAUAUUGCGACAUGGAUAAAAAAUUAAAUUUGGAUGCAAAUCAAAGUGUUUCGAGGAGGGAAGAAAGGAAAUAUGAGUACACACGAAAUACCCCAAUUGUUUAUAUUAGUGAACUAUUGUAACACAAAAUAUUGAAACAUAUUUAUUGGCAUACUUCAUCCUCUAUAUAAAAUUGACAGAAAGAUUCUCUGUUGUUCAGUGCUAAUGUAUUAGUGAUUUGUCACUCUUGACUUCAUGAAUAACCAACCUGCAAUGAAUAUCAAAGGUGUAGUAGACCAAGUAUCAACAUGAAAGCUCUAGAAUUAGUAAAUUGAUGAUGCUCUCAAAGGCCUUAAAAUGUGGUCAUAGGUGUGUGCUUGAGUGUAUAAGAUUCUUCAAAAGUUGUAAAUAUAGAACUCAUAAGCAGUACAUGAUAACAAAGUGAAACAAUAAAUGGUUUUAAAGAAUAUAUAUAUAUAUAUAUAUAUAUAUAUAUAUAUAUNNNNNNNNNNNNNNNNNNNNAAUAGUUAAGUAAUAUAUAUAUAUAUAUAUAUAUAUAUAUAUAUAUAUAUAUAUAAUUCUAGCAUGCUAUUUGAAAUACUAUGGACUGUACUUUCAUACAACUUCAGCAGGUUCACAUAAAACAUUACAUAAAGAUAAAGUUUGCUCACAAUGUUGUAGCUACAAUAAGCUCACUACAUAACAAAGGAUUGUGGAUAGAAGCUCCUACAGAAUCAACUCUCUUGGUCAAACUAUAACUUUAUAUGGAUCUUUAUUUUAAUGAAGGAUAUCAUCAUAAGUAGGCAGGAUAGAAUUACAAGAUGGUUAUCAGAAAGAAGGAACCACAAACAAACUGGCUAUCAAAUUAAUUUUUAAAUAAAAGCUAGUGUCCAGAAAAAUCAUCAGAGUGGAAAAAAGCAUCUGUUUCUAAUAAGUCACUGUCAUCCAACUAUAUGCAAAUGGCAUCAAGAUUUGAGAUCAUGUCGAUUUAUGGGUUGCUAAUCAGAAACAUCCAAACUUUGCAAUCAUUCCCACUUUGGCCUGGAUGUGAACAUUAACCUCUCAUUGCUUUUUAAAUUUAAGUAAUCAACCUUAGCACAGAAUAACCAAGUAUUGUCGGAAAGAUUCAGAAAGAUGCCAGGUUAGAUAAAUGAAAAUUACUCUAUCACAUCAGUGCAUUCCUAUGUUUAUAAAAACAUGUGAAACCCAUAAAUUGCAUGUACGAUGUCGCAUUUUUAAUGAAAAAUAAUAAUGGUUUUAUGUCUAAAAUAAUGAUGGUUCUACGUGGUAACAUUCACAAUUAAACCAAUUUUCAUUCCAUAAAAAGUGCAUCAUGUAGAACAUUAAAAAGAAAAAAAACUAAGAAAAUAUAUCAUCGUUGACUCAUAGCUCUCUCCCAAAUGAGCAAGAAACAAAAUAUUAUUUAAGCUUCCAUAUGGUAACCAAGUAUCAGAUAACGAUUCACACUGUCUUGAAGUUUCCCUGUUUGGCAUUGCAUUCAAUUGUGCUCUUUGUUAUUUUGGUAAUGAAAUGGCUAAUCUGAUGACCAACAAUCUGAUUUUUACCUGGUAAAAGAAUACUAAUAAACCCACCACUUAUAUUUAUACGUUUGCUAUUUCCUAAUAACCAGUUUAUUUGGCAGUUUGUGGACUUCCUUGUAAAGAUUCAUAGACCUUCAGUAUGAAGAAAUUUUUUCCUCUAUAGUCCUUGAUAUGAGUGAGAGAAAUGGUCUGUAUAUAAGAUGAUAAGUUGUUGUAUUUUGCAUAAUAAAUCACUGUGUAUUCAUAGUGACAUUUACACUGCAAGGGUCUGUAACAACCCAGGACCUCACCCAAAAUGGCUAGCCGGAAGGUAUUGUUUGGGUUCCUUGAUCCUGUAUAAGUACCCAAGAUCUACCCAGCGAAUAACUGAUGUGGGACUAAACACACGCCCGCACAGANNNNNNNNNNNNNNNNNNNNUGCAUUAGUGCUGGUAUGAAUGCUGAAUUGCAAGUGAAGUAUUGAAAUGCUGAAUGGAAUGCUGAAUGCUUCUCAAGUUGCAACAGAUACUCAAAUGAGAAGGAACAAGGUCCUAAAAAAUGUGAAUUUGCUGAAAAUUCAGAGGCAUCUUGGUCAUGGCCAUUUACCAUUUAUUAAAUUUAGCUACCUUAUGGUAGUAAUGAAUCUCCCGAUGAAGUGAUUAAUGGCAAGCCUGGAACACAAACUGAUUAUUUCUUUUAAAGAUGCAUGAGAAAGGGACAUAGGCUUAAGCAAAAGCUACAACAGUAUGUUCAUGGUCUCAGCUUUGCAUCCAAAUUGAACACAUGUAAUGAAGGAGAGUAAGUGAACAAGACAAGUAGACUUAUGAGCAACGUUGGCAGAACCGGUACCGGACACUGUACCGGUUGCCUGGCGGGACGAAUCGGUACGGGCCCGCGCCGUACCUUGCCAGACUGUACUGAAACAUCAUCUACAGUGGGGAGAGGGAGAACGAGAGAGGAAAGAGAGGGUUGACCUCUCUUCCUUGCUCUCCCUCUUCCUCCCUUCCCCUCUCUCUCUCUCUUUUCCUCUUCUCUUUCUUUUUCUCCGGCGAGGCAUCUCGGUCUCAAUGGAAGAACCAUCCCGGUCCGCUGCCGGUAUGGCCUGAAACGCUCCGAACCGGGCAGUUCGAGACGGUUCCGCAGACCUUGCUUAUGACUGUGAUGAUGCCAAUAUGCAAUAGAAGAAUGAAGAGCUAAUAGGGAAAAUAGCCAACAUUAAUAAUGUAGGUGCGUUUAUAAGAAUAAACUAGGUAAGGUUGGAUUUAGCCCACAACUAUCAAGGCAUAAAAGUAAGCAUGAAAAGCAAAUGGCAGAAUUAACAAUGAGAUGCUAUUUUCUCUUAGCAAAACUAAUCUACCCAGGACUGGAAGAUGACAACUACAAUGGGAAGUCAUGGUGUCAAGAUACUGUAGAGGGAGGUAUGGCCACAUUCAACAAAGAAUGUUAAGCUGUAAUAUAUGAGAUAAACAUCAAACCAACAAAAUGAAGUCAGCUGCUUUGAAGUCAUUAAUGAGACACAUCUGUAAAGAUAACCACCUACCUACAGCAAGGAGUUUGGUCCAUGAAAACUGAAUAAGCAAUAAUAAACAGGAAACAAGACCAUCCCAAAAAAAUGGAAAGGAGGUCCAAGUAUUUUGCUAACGUAUAGACGUAUAGCUCGUAUGGUUUGAUAAAAUAAAAAAGAGACGCAUCAUUUAAUUCAAUGCUGAGCAAUAUGCAUAAUACCAUGAUGACAACGCGCAGCAGGUUGAAGUGGACAAACUAAUGGAAUGGAAAAUAGAGAAAAAAAGUUAUAAGAGAAGUUCAAGAUACAGCCACAUCGCUCCCAUGACAAUCCCAUUUCUUCUCUUGUAUGACAGUCAUACAUGGAACAAGUAGAGAAUGAGAAUGAUUAAAAUGAUCAAAAAUCACCUGAACAACCAUGAAAGUGAUAUUUGCAUGGAUAAAUGGAUUUGUGAACUGUGAAUUGCAUUUGCACUUUCAGUCACAUAAGAUUGCAAUAUAUCAAUGAAGGAAAGCCAGAUGUCUGUUCAAAGGGCUGCAUAGACUUCACCUCAUGUUCAAUCAUCUCUAGACAAGAAUCUCAUCUUUUGGUCGGUGCACUUUGGUCGUUGUACAGGAUUGUGUUCUACAACCUCAUGUUUUGACAACAAACGGAGAAGAUGGUACCUCAAAUGGCAUUAGACAAUGUCAUAGGAGGAAUUCAAAAGUUUUUGUUCAAACUAUUUAAUGCUACACCAUAUUUUAAGAACAACAAUUUCUAGUCUGUUGCCAUAUAGAUAUUGCUCAAUAGAACUGUAGGCAACCAAGAAAUGUACUCACAGAGUCAUAGGCAACCACGAAAUGCAUCCAGUAAAACUCUAUCAAACAAUAUAAGAACACAGUACAUUCAAAAAUAAAGAAAAAAAGAAAAGAAAACUGUGCACUCUCAAUGACCAUAGAAACCAUGCCCAAUUUGGCAAGUUUGUUAAUAGUUUCAAACUUUCUUGUUGCAUAGAUCAGAGCAACAGAUACCAAGCAUGCUAACCUGAAGCUUCAAAGGGUCCGAAUUCAGCCCAUCAAAAAUGUCAAUCCUUCCAUUGAUUCAGAACUGUUCCUAAGAGUCUGAGAAGUACCAACAUACCUAUAAGCAUCCAAACAUUGUCAUGGCCUAAGGAAGGACCUCAAUUCUUAAAUGCACGACCACUUGAAAUUCAAUUGAUUAAACAGGCAUAAACCUAUACAUAACACAUUCUAAUUUCCAACCUAAUAAUAAAAUAAAGAAAUAUAGCAAUCUACGAUUUUAAAAGAACUGGAACUAUGACUCUUUCCAUUCACCAACUUAAGCUUCUUUGAGAACGCUACCCCGCAUUAUCAGAAGGGACUGAGCAUAUAAACUGUACAUAUCGUUUUAUUACGACACACUCUUCUCCUUUAUCACGUUGACCAGAUGGCACAGUAAUAUCAAAUUAUUGCAGAAUUAGUUUGACAAGUUUGUGCCUUUUUUCAUCCUCUUGACCUAUCUCAGUUUUUGCAUUAAGGUUGGCAAUGGAAACACACUGACUUUAAACACGCCACCUGUUUAGGACCUGAUGCACUUUAUCACUAGUACAAAGAUACGAAAAGCGAUGAUCUUUGAGGCGAAAAAACUUUUUUUUUAAAAGAAAAAAACCCACUUCGUGUGUUUGGUAGAAUCUAGGACAAAUUAUUCCAACAGAAAGCAACAAAAAAGAAGAACAUAUACCUCAGAAAAGCAAUUACCUUACCUCUCCGAAAGGGCAACGGCUGACGUCCUCAAUCUGUCAAAGUUCGCAUGAACAAGAUUAAAUACCCCAAAAUCGAGCUCCUCUCGCUCAAUCAAAUCUCGGUCCCGAAAAGGAAACAUUAUUUCUACCUUGCUGGAAUCCUCUUACCGAACAAAGAUUGGAAAGUGUAAAUACCCAAAUCAUCAAAAUAAAGAAGAACAGAGACACCUGAACACCACGGUCCGAUUCGAAGCUUUGCCAUUGGAGCCGAUCGUUUUCUGGAAGAGAACGAAGAAAUCCGCACCGUAAUCGAGAGAGAAGGAGGAGGAGGAAGGGGGGGGGGACGAGUUGGAAGAAGGCGGAGCGUUUCAGGAGGAAGGGCUACCAAGACGACGACGCCGUCCCGCAGGCCAUUUCUUGAUCGAUUCUUUCUUGUAAAUAGCCGUUAGCGGGAUCGAAGGAACGAAAGUCGGCAUCCAGUCGCCAUGUUUUGAUGCCUAUCGCUUCGCCGCCACCUUAUCGGACGUCUCGGCCCUUCCACUUCCGAACAGCACCGAAAUAAGUUCCAGGCGCGGAGCCUAAACUCGAGCGGGAUCAGGUCUCUCACGUGAAUACGUGAUCGAGCUCGCGCGACUCGAUUAAAGAGCAAAGUACCGGUAAACCAAAACGCCCCACCUCCAAACUUUUUUUUUUUUUUUGGUGCAUUGGCAGCUCAUAGAGCACAACCUGCUACAUUAGAAGUAAAAAGUUUACACUAAGCAAAGUCUACACGAAGUAAAAGAAAAUAAGGACUACUGAGUCUAAAGAAACUCUUCCGAGUGGCGAGCAGCAAAUGAAACAACCCAGUCAACAAAGAGGGAGUUUGCUCAGUCAUAUUUAAAAUCUACAAACAACAUAGGAUCUGAAUAGGCAUUAUUUACACGAAGCAUAUGUUGAGAAUUGAUCUUAUAGUUAUUGAGGAUGAUUCAGCUACUAUGAUCGGAUGAAUUCAAAAUCGGAUAGGGAUGGUUAAUGCACAUCCUCCCCUGCACAAUAUUCAAAGGAUUUCGAAGAAGUAUGUAUUUCCGGAUACUAGGCAUGUCUAUCAAAAGAUGAACAAAACUGCGGAUUAUGUUGCUUUUUAUAUAGUAGAGCAUUUUGGAGAAGUACUAUGGAUCAAAUAGUCGAUUGUCAUGAUAUCGCUCUCUGCGAUGUUUUAUUUUUUGAUUUGGUUUGAUAUAUUCAUACAAGUCAUGUAUAACAUGCCUGUCUUAUCAAAAAAAAAAAGGAGCAAAUAAUUAUUUUUAAGAGAUUUAGCCCAGGUCCUUGAGGAUCUGCAGGUGCUGUUUUACAAUUUAAAUCUUAUGUAGGAGGUUUUAAAGUUACUUCAACUUGGAUACAAGAUAGCUAGCUUAUAAUAUCCAUGGGAUGGUAUUAAAUCAUAUCAAGUUAUGGUACUUGGUGCCCUUGUUUGCUAUGCGCGGAUCAGCACCUCCCAAGUACAUUAGCUAUAUGAAGGGAAGGUCAUCUCUUUAGAAAAUCAACGUACUGGUUUAUUUUCCAAGUUAUACCAGGUAUCUUCCCCACUACUGAAAGUAGACAUAUACAUUCCGGUUCAAAUAAGACUUCCCCCUUAUAAUAGGUGUAUGGGCAUUCGUGUCAUGACGUGCCAAGUUGCAGCUGCUUGCCUACAACACGGUAGGACUGGUUUAGGUAUUACGUGGCCACAAGCACAUUGUUAUUGUGCGUCAUGUACUGCUUCCUUGGAGAUCAUGUCUUGUAGGUUAUCUGGAUUGUUUUUUUUAGCACGCAUCUAAACCUUUCGGUCUCUCUGCGGCAAUUAAGGUUUCAGCUUUUUGCGUCGUCAUCGACGCAAGCAUGUAAACGGUAGAGAAAAGUAUAAAUAAAUUAAUGCUGGGUCACUGAGUCAAUCCUCACCAACCUGAUCUAGUCUUGCUUCUAUUGUAUUGACUAUCCUUUUCUUCUGCUAGCUCCUUCCCACUUUUGCUGCGGUAAACGACACGUAUGGGAUAAAAAAUGGCAUAUAUUUAAGACCCAACUACACUCUGGUCUCUUCGCUCUUCUAAAGUAAUCACUUAUUUAGUUAUUUGUAUUCUCAUAGGCAGUCUUCUUGUGCUUUGAUCAUUAAAUGCUUUUAGGUAGUUCAGCUGAUAAUUUGGUUGUCUUUCUUCCGUGCACGCUAAUGCAUGGCUCUUUCUUUCCUCCGCACAAGAUGUGUGACCCUUCUCCUGCUCAUUUGGUUGUGUAAAAGAUCCACACCCUGGAAAAAUGGAAAAAGACAAUAGAACUUGAGGAUUGAGAAUGGAGAGAUAUGGAAGAAUAACUUUUAUUUCGCCGUUUCUUACAAAUAUUUUUUGUUUUGAUUUGGUGGGAAAAGUGAUCAGUGUUCUUUAGAAAUUCAAAAGUACCCCUCCAUCGCCGUCCUUCAACCGGGAAUUAAUGAAGUUGGGAUUUUUGGCAAGACAGAAUGAAAUGAGGUAGGAUAAUGUAAUAAUUAUUUUCUGGACAACUCCACUUUAUCCCGAAACCGGACGAGACUGUGACUGCAUCUUAUUAGUGUCUUCUAAUUACUAUCUCCCUAUCCCCCUACAACUGGAUAAGCAAUCUUGUUAGGGUUCGGUGUGAUUGUAUCCUGAGGAUAAAGGUCAGAUGAUCUAUGAGAGACUAGCUUAGAGAAAAUCUAAAAUUAAACAAAUUUAAAUAGUUCUAAAUCUUUAGUGGCUUUGAGGCCUUCUGUCCUUCCUAGGCCAUGGAAACUAUAGUAUGUAAAUGCUAAGAACAAUCCUGACUUUUACUAUAAUGAACAUAUAUGGAUACAUACUACUUAAAUGUUGAGGAAAUUAAUUCCCCAUCCUCCUGAUGACUGUGGUAUAACAGAUAAUCCCUAUUAACUGGAACUGCCAUUUCCAGUCCACAAAUACCGCUCAUCCUAAUUCCAGGUCCUUAUUAGCGAUUUCCAUAUUUUAAAAUUUCGAAUAUGCCCCCAUGACCCCACCAAAAUGGUUGCAAUGCUGAUUGCUAAGGGUCAAUAUUGCCCGCAUCGAACAUUCUCCUGGCGGGGUGGGGGCUGCUACGCGGGGGUGGGCUUGUCCCUUCCUCCCCCCUUCCCCUUUUUUUUAAGCAAAAAAAAAUAUUUGUUUUUUAUGGAAACUUAUUUCGAAAAUUGAUAUUGCUUCUUAUGUAUUAUUCUCCAAAUAUGUUCGCAUUCUGUUUCAUUUAAGGUAAUUAUUCUCGAUACUCAUAUCUGUUUCAUGAAAUUAUUUUGUUUUUUGAAAUCACUUCCCUAUUCUUCACUAACACACUAUUAAGUAAGCCUGGUAUAUAGUUCAAUAAGGUUUGAACAUGGUUAAAAUAGCCUAGCACAUAAUUAAGUCAUCUUGGCACACAGUUAAUAAGGUAUGAACACGGCUAAUAUAGCCUGGUGCACAGUUAAGUCACCUUAGCACACAGUAAAGUAAGCUUGGUACACAGUAGUUAAUAGAGCCUGACACAAUUUAACACAGUAACGUACCUUAUUUUUACUGUUUCAAAUCUUAUUGAAUUGUGUACCAUGCUUACUUAACUGUGUACCAAUGAAGAAUAGGAAAGUGAUUUCAAAAAACGAAAUAACUUCCAUGAAAAACAGAUAUGGGGUAUCCGGAAUAAUUACCUUAAAUGAAAUGGAAUACGAACAAAUUUGAAGAAUAAUACAUAAGAAGCGAUAUCAAUUUUCGAAAUAAGUUUCCAUAAAAAAUAGCUAUUGAUCAGAAUAAACGGUGGGGUCAUGGAGCAUAUUCGAAAUUUUAAAAUAUAGAAAUCACUAAUAGGGACCGAGAAUUAGGAUUAGUGGCAUUUGUGGACCGACGAUGGCAAUUCCGGUCAAUAGGGAUUAUCUAUUAUACCAAAGUCAUCAGGAGGAUGGAGAAUUAAUUUCCCCUUAAAUGUUUUUCCCAUCGACAGGCAAUUGUUUAAGUUCUCUUUUUCUAAAGAAUACUUCCCAACAUUUUAUCCAAUAUAAAAAGACUACACACAGUUGUUGAAGCAUAUCGACCAUUUGAUGUUACAGUUUUUAUUGAAUUUAUAAUAGCCAUUUGAAUUAAUUUAUAUACAUGCAUGGGAUAAUUCGUUGCAGGCUUUGUGGAUGCACUACUAACAUGAAAAUAACCUAAAAGUGGUCAUAAUAAGGAGAGAUCUGAGGCUAUGGUUCCGAUAAGAUACUUUUUGUGACUCAAAUUUGUCUUCAAGCUGAAACCCCAAAAUUCAUAGGAACAUAUAUAUCUUCUUUCUGUAGAAAGAAAAUAUCCUUAAAUUUCACCCGUCAGCUUCUAAUAUACAAAAUUAGUGUGGAAUUGUUUGCAUGAGCAGUCCGUCUGCAACAAUUGUUAAUAGCCACGUAAAAUUUGAGAUUUCAGAAGCAUGUACUUUAAGUACUCUACGUUGGGCUUUCCAAUGGAUACCAUGAGAUUAAUCUGGCGUACAAGUUAUAACUACCCAUCAAAAGCUAACUUGCAGCCUUUUUUUUACUGGAAAAGAAUUUAAAAGCAGAAAUCAAUAGAAAUCUCAAUUGAUGAAAUCAGACUCAAAGACCAAGGCUAGAUCCAAGUCCUAGCUCAGAAAGGAAAGUAUCUUUUUCUUCUUUCCGUUUUUUGUCUGCACUUAAAGGAACUUUUUGACAAUAUCCAUCAGGUCGCGUGAGCAGGUGGUGUAUAAAUCAAAGAAGUACGGCUUCUCUCACCCACCAAAUGAUCCUUUUGAGGUUUCAGGGCAGGCGUCUAUCUUACGGAAAAUGAAAUUAAGCACCAACUCUUUAUAGGUCAAGUCAGGUUGCUGGAUGAUCAUCGAACAUUUCAAACUCGUGAUGCAUCACAACUUGAGUAAUAAAACAUCAGCAAUUUAGCUCCACAAAUAUAGAAGGCUGACAGGAAAAAAUGUUGGUGUCCCUGUCACGGUUACAUGGACCGCUAUAAAUGGUCAUAAGCCAAUAAGAUGAAAUUUUGAUAGAUUUCAGGCUAUUAGCUACUUUCUUGCACGAAGGAACGAUCGUUAGUGGAAAACAUUUCUUACUGCCUCUUUAAUUGAGAAUCUUGACACAAUUGCAAACGUGUAAGUGCAUCAAAAAGUCAAGGUAGUUUAAGCAUCUUGUCAAUUUACAGCAUCCGUGUAGACUAAAUUUUAUUGACGAACUAAACUCAGUUGUUCUAUCGAAUUACUGCGAAGUAGGCUUUGAGUCCACAGAAUUACAUAUCGUGAUGGACCAAUUUAUUGGCUGGCAAUUUUAGUUUACAAAGGGAAGGAAUGGAAGAUGAGUAUUUGACGACUUCAGGUAGUGAUUGUCGCUCUCUUUCGCAGUAAUCCUUCUCUGCUCUCUAUCAUCAGUCAUCAUAGCGGGAAGGUCUGAGGAAAAGCAUUCAUCUGAACCUGAUCUCCCUCUGGGUUCAAGAGCUCAGAGUACUCUUGGUACAGCCUUUCAAGUAGUCUAUCCUUUGAGGGGAAAUCACAAGCUGGAACAUGGUUCGAAACAUCUUCUCCAAAGAAAAAGCCACCUUGGUCGAUAUCAGACCAAUUAAUAAUUCCCAAAUCCUCCAUGCUGGUAUCUCCAUUCUGUUCCUCCGAUGUAGCAGUAUUUUCGAUCUGAGGAAUAUCUGACCCACUGCUAUUCUCCAUCAGAUUAUAGUUCCUCGAGGUUGGUCCCAACCUUGUGGGUUUUGGAACGUAGAUCUUAGUCCUAGUAAUCUCUCCAGUGCCUUCCACUUCAUUCUUUUUCCUUCUCUUGCCUUGUCGAUUCUUGCCGUUAUGGCUGCUGCUCUUGUUAUUAGUGUUCUCGGUCUUUUUUUGUGCUGCCCGGGCUCGCUUUGAUGUACCUUUGGAGGUCCCUUCUCUAACCUCAAUUCCUUGCUCUCGGAGCCUCUUACUGAGAUGGCUGUUCCAGUAGUUCUUGAUCUCGUUAUCCGUUCGACCAGGGAGCCUUCCAGCUAUCAAAGACCAUCUGUUGCCGAGCAACGAAUGAAGUCGGAUAAUGAGAUCUUCUUCAUCUGGCCCGAUGUUGCCACGCUUGAUGUCUGGCUUCAGGUAGUUCAUCCAUCGUAGUCUGCAGCUCUUUCCGCAUCUAAGAAGACCUGCAAGCGAGUAGGUUUUAGCAAGCGAGAGAGAGAGAGAGAGAGAGAGAGAGAGNNNNNNNNNNNNNNNNNNNNAGAGAGAGAGAGAGAGAGAGAGAGAGAGAGAGAGAAAAUAUUAUCUUUUGUUCAAGAAAGAAAACAUGAAAUACUUUAAAGUAUUUCCUUCGUAUUUGCACCGAAGUCUCUUUCUUUAAGAAGAAUAGCAACACACCUUCUAGCGUUUUAAAUUUUUAAGUAACACGUCUUCCGUUGUCAUAUAAGAGGAAGUCCACAUUUGACAUGCUACCGUUUAUUAGAAAGAUUGAACGUGGAGGUCAAAAUGCCUUCAGAUUUAAGGAUAUUGAUUUCUCAAAAUCCUUCUUAAAACUAGCCAACAAUUGGAGAUUGUGGAAGGCUUAUGAUUACUGCUAUUCCUAUUGGAAAUAAUAUGGAGAAGAGGUCUGCUAAGAUAGAAAAUAACCAUCGAUCGUACUCCCUACAGCUUGAAACUGGAAAUAAAGGAACUUAAAACACAUAUCAAAAGUUACCAGGAAAACGAAAAAAUGAAGUAACUGAAACAAUAAGGGAACGGCACUAAAUACAUAGAAGAAAUCAACAAAAACAAGGAUAAAUAUCUCUCAUCAAAAAAAAAAAACAAGGAUGAAUAUCAUAACUCCUGCUACUUAUCUUUGUGGAAAGAAGAAAACAUUAAGUUCUUACAAAACAAGAGAAAAGGAAAGGAAAAGGGAGAAGAUAAUAUUGGUCCAUGAAGAAGUGGGUGUUGGUUUACCUAACAAUGAAGUGGGAGUUGGUGAAUAGGAGUAUGCAUACAUUCAAAAGAUACGUGCCUGCUUUUUUAGGGAGAUGCCUCCAGUUUCCUUCUCCAUGACAAUGGAUAUAGCUGGCGAGCAAUGCAUCUUCUCUUGCAGUCCAUGGCCCUUUGUGCAGCCCCACCUUGGAGCAGCAAGGGGCUCUCCCCAUCUUCCCCUGCGUUCCUCCUAGGUUUUCAGUGUGAUGCCAAGAGAUCCUUCGUUUUUUUUGGAUGGAAGUGUCGUACCAAGAGAUCGCGUGACAGAGAACGCUCCCUAGUACUCUUUUAUAGACGCCAUGUGCGCAAAAGAAGGACUUCAAAGAUUUAUUUAAAAAAGCUUCAACGAAUGGCGGUUCGUGUGUGCCGAGGAUUGCGGUCAAAGAUGGCAGUCAUAUCAUUGAUAUAUAUUAUUGUUUGAGGUAACGAGGAGGAAGCAUGGCGCUUCCCCAAGUUUAUUAUAUCAGAAUGUUAUCGAUAUGUUGAGGCAAUCUGCUGCCAGAUUCUGAACAGCAAACAGAAUUCUGACCCUAUGAAGCUAUGGCAUGGAAAUUUUUUUUCCUCUGACGCCGAGGGAGAACCGUGACCUAUUUUAAUUCUCAAGAAAAAGUUUCAAACAAGCUGACUCUCAAAUUAAUGUAACAUCAUCUAAAUCAGGAUCAUAUGGAAACGCCAAAAAUAUGUUAAAAAAUAAAGAAUUAGCUCUCUAACUAUGUAAAUUUAUUUUUGAGAAUAUAAAUAUUGCUAUAAUAGAAAUCACUUACAAAAAUAAAUUCCGAACUAGAUUUUUGAGUUUCUAAGCCGGAUGAUGUAAUAAAUAUUUGACAAUUGGGUCUUAUGGGGGGACAAUUUAAGAUUCAACUAUCAUUUCGGCUUUUGACUUUUCUCAUGCUGACGUGCAAUGAUGAGGUUUACAAUAGCUAGUGUAAUUUCUAAGGUAUUGACUGAAUGAUAAACUUGCUUUGGUUAGCGCCUAAAUGGUUAAUUAAAAGGCAGGAAGAAAAGAAAAAAAGAGCACCAUAGGUUGGAUGGUCCUAAAUUGCAUGCUGAGGAAAGCACGGUCCAGUACCAAGAGCACCACACCAGAUCCACCGCAGUGAAAACUCUAAGGACCGAGUGCACUUUACGUACUUUUCCUGGUGAGAAGGGAAGUUGUCCCAUCCCACCGCCCUUCUCUCGACGCUGCCGUCCCUUUCCUUUGUACCUUUAGAUGGACGCGGGUGAAAAGGCAACAGUGGAAAGAAGACAAGAAGGUCAUGGCGAUAAAAAGAAAAACAGGACAGGUUUCGUAUAGAUUGUGGCUCGCUCGUUUUAGGAGAGUGUGUUCUCCAAGGCACUUGGGGCGAUGACGGCAUUUGGGGUGGUAGGGAGUUUCAUAUAUAUUGACCAUUGACUUAAAGGUUUAAUUUUUAGGUGAUAAAAGCUGGGGAAUACAUAGUGGGAUGGAUUAAUUUAGAUAACAAGGAGCAAUACUGUGAUUACAAGCAGCUUAGAGAACUCUCUACAUCUGCGUGAAGAUAAAGGGAGGGAGGAAAAAAGAGAACUUUCAGUAUUUACUAAAUCUACUUAGUAGGAAUCGUGUUAAUUAUACGAGUUGGGUGCUCGAUUGUGUCCUAGCUGCUAGAAAGAGUGUCUCAUUCUACGGAUUGGAUUCCUGACUUCAAUGAGAUUGUCAUUAAUUGAGAUUGGAAAUGUUACUAGAAUUAGGUAUCCUCUAUAUAUAUGGAAUGAUCAGGAUCGUUCAGGGUUUGGGCCUGGUCAGUUGAAAUGGAUGGGUGGCUAAAAUUUAAGAUGGAAUUGGGAUGGCUCAGAUCAAAUGACAAUGAAAUAUGUGCAGGUCAAACUUAAGCUAAAGUUACAAGAAUAAGUGGUCAUAAUUAAAUAUAAUCCCUAGAUUAGCUUUAUUGAUAAAAUAAAAUAUUCUCUAAACUAAUGAAUUACUUAGUUGUCUGUUAUUGACUAGAUGAUUAUUUAGAUUCUUUGCGAGAAACAACACAUAACUUUGUGAUGAUGUAAAUCGUGACCGCUCAAUAUUUCUUAUAAUCAGUUGUCAAUAAAUUGCAAUAUUUGUGGAUAACUGCCCUACCUGCAUUAAUUUUUAACUAAAUAUAACAAAGAAGAUGCUCGAUAGUUUAUUUCUUAAAUUUAUGUAUGCAAUUUCUUUCUAAAUUUUUUUAAAAAGUUUCUUCCUAUUUUCACAAGUUUCAAAUUUUUAUCCCUAAAUGUUCUUGAACACUAAAUUAUUGACAACCGUCGCAAUCGAUUAGUGCUACAGAUUUUCUUGUAAGUGUUUGAUUUAUCAAACCUGAUCUAAUGGAUUGCGAUUAUUUGAUGCCAAGUCACUCUUUUAUUUAACACGCAUGCUUCACGCGCCUAUUAAUUUCAAUUUGCUCCUCAUUUAUAUAUUGAUUUUUUAUUCUAAACCUUUAUGCAAUUGAACUAUUUGCACCUAAAAGAGAUGAAAUAUAGUCCGUAUUUCACUUUUCAGAAGAAAAAAAGGAGACAGGAUCUUUAUUUUCAUAUUUGGCGAUCUCCUUUCAUUUAGCUUUUCAUUUUUUCAAUGGUUGGACCAUGCUCCGAACUAUUCUUUGGACAUGUAGCGACAAGGCAUUAUUCAAUUAUAAUUGGCUGGGCCCAAAAUCAUCAAGAGAAGCUAAGUACUCUUGGUGGCAGCGAUGUUUCUCUGCUAUCUUAUCGGUGUUCUCUCCUAUAUUUAUUUCUACAUAUGGAUACGCGCGCGCGCGCCAAAAAAACAAAAAAAAAAACAUCAAAAACUAGCUGUCAUUGUUUUUUUAUUCUAUUCUAAUUUUUUUUUUUGCUGAAAAAAAGGAGAAGGGGGAGGAAGGGAUAAGCCCACCCCCGCGUAGCAGCCCCGACCACUGGGCCCCCACCCCGCCAGGAGAAUGUUCGAUGCGGGUAGACCGAGUCGUGUGUUGGGCACCCCGAUCUAUUUUACUCAUACCCUCCCCAUCCGUGGGCGGGCUCAGUUAUCCGACCCGACCCUCCGUGUGAGUACGUCACACCUGGCACCACUCAGGCUACCAGCCGACCAGUAGCGCUUCCAGACCCCGUGUCCAGGCGUGGAGCAUCCGGUCCCCGAAUUUAAUCGACGCCCGUGCGUUUAGUAUUUUGAACUUUUCAUACUUUUAGUUAAUUUCCCACACUUUUGUGAAUUCUGAAUCUUUACCUCCUUUUGACAAUAGUUUAUACAGGGACAAAUUGUUGAGAACUAGCCCAAGUGGUAACCAAGUCCAAUUUUCGGGUCUAGGCUUAAUUUCAGAUUAAGGUUGCUUCUGAUGGAUUAGAAUGAGUUCAAACUUUGUAGGACGAUAAAAGCAUGAACUUUUUAUCUCGAACACGAUUCAUAGAUCAAUAAUAGUUCUGCACUACUCAUUUUCAUGUUGCUUUUCUUUUGUAGGCGUCUACAACCCAUUUCGCAUUGCUUUUGUUUCUUGUUUUUCUUUAUAAAAACCCUUUAACAAGAACAAACUAGACUGAACAACGUCCAAUGAAACCCAUUUGUUUUUUAAAUUGCUUAUUUUCCCUUUGGCCACUGCUUGUGGGAGACAAACUUACCUCAUCUAAGUUGAAUUCACAUCUAAAAUUAGAAAGAAUAGGCAGUGAAAGAGCUUGUAAGUUAAGAGUAUUUUUUUGAUGGAAUAUGGAGGAAGUGAGAAACUUCCCUCAUAUUAUAUUAAUUUUAAAACUUUUUGAAUACAAAAUAUUUACAAAGAAAGAGAGUUUAGAAAAGAAGGAAAGAGGCCAAGGAUGGAGGGUUAUGAAUACAAUGAGAACAACUUGGAUAAGACGCCCUAAUGAUUUAGCCGAGCAAAGGUUAUUCCACAAGGCAAGGAAUGCAGGAGUAGUUCAUGCAGAACAUAGAUAGGUGGAAACUUUUUUCUUGAAGAAAAUUCUUGCAUUCCUUUCGUUCCAAACGUGCCACAUGAGAGCCAUGCAAAGUUAACCCCAUCCCUUCCCUUCCUUAAGCAAGCUUGCACUCUUCUUUUCCGCCACAAAGUCUAGAGGGCAUUUAUAUUUGGAGGCCGACCAUGGAGAUUAACAGAUUGGAAUCGAUGAGGCUUGAGCAGCAAUCAGAAUAGGAUGCACAUAAAGAGCAUUCAACACUUACUCUCCAACCUUUCCUUGCCGGUAUCUCCCAUAUAUUAAGUUUAUUUUUAAGAGUCGGCCAUAAGAACAUCUUAGGGCUCGUUUGGUUUGAAAAAAAAAAAGGAAGAAAGUAUGGUCAACGGAAAAGUAAUAAGAUGCCUCUUGUUUGGUUGGAGUUUUCAAAGAAGAGAGACGAAAAUGCUGUAUUCUCAUGGGAAUAUGAUUCCUAUAUUUCAUGAAAAAGUUUUUCCCAUAAGAAACAUGCAAAAAUUACUUUUUCAUGAGCCAGGAAUCACUUCAUUUUUAUUUUUUUUCCAAAAAAGUCCUUCAGCAUUAAAGAGGCAUCAAAAACCUAAUUUUUAUUAAAGGUAUAAUAAGAAUUACAUAUAACUUUUUUAGAAAAGUGAAUGGUCAAUCAAACACAAGUAUUUGAAAAAUCUGUCGCUUUUUCAUUGUCAACCAAAUAUGCCAAAAGUAGAUUUUUAGGUAUUCUCUUUCUAAAAAUCUACUUUUUAGAAAUCAUAUUUUUAAGAGAAAAAAUGCUUCCUGGAACCAAAUGAGCCCUUAAUCUUUUCUAGCACACCAACUUUUCAUAUUGUCUUGUAAUACCGGCAAAGAAUCUCUCCAUUAUUGAUGAACCUGUAAUAAGAAUCUCUCCACUAUGAUUUUUCCGCACGGGCACAUUUAAGAGUCAAAACGGAAGCAUUCAAAUGGUCAAGAAGCCCACGUAAGCUACUGAACAUCUUGUUCUAAUGUUACCAUUCAGAAGCAGACCAUAAGGAGGGCUUCGCAGAAGGAACUCAGCCUCAAAGUAAGGUACGGGUCUUUAAACCAGUAAGGCUCUAGUUAAUUUGUCUUGUCUUGAACUAUUCUAACUCAUAGAAUACGGAAAAUGUUGCUCUUCACUAGAAUUUCUAAAACCAUGGGCGUCCCAAUUAAGUGCUUGGCCAUCGCACCUGCCACGAGGCGUUUCUCGCCAGGCAUGCUAAAGUUGGUCAAGCUUUUCGAUUUGGAAGUGCCGACUGAGUUCACACAGUUCAUCCGAACCAAAGCAAAAGAAACUACGCAUUCGUCAUCACUAGAAGAAACAAAUUAGUUGACAGGAGCUAAGAAGUUAUAUUCCCUGGUUUCGACGGGGAAAAUAGAAAUAUGGGAAAUCGAUAACGAUACCCGACACACUUCUUAACUACCCUGCUAAAUCUAAUGAAAAGCUUCUAUAUGAUGAGGUCUUUCAUGGAGUAAUCUCAUCUUAGAAGCGUUCUUUCCGAGAAAAACUGUCGAUGGAGGUGUCGAUAUUUGAAUUUCUUUCUCCUUUCUUUCUUUUGGGAAAAGGAACAGAAGCUCCACCUACUUCAUUGAGAUUAGAAUAUGAUGACGAUGUUUGAAGCUAUCGAAUGUUUACUGUUCUGGGAUCAGAGGAUAUUGGUAGGGCAUUCCGCCGAACUUUCAUCAAGGCGGUCCACAAUUUGGUCCUUGAACAAUUCUACAUUCUAAAUGAGUUGAACCUUAACAUUUGGAACUGCGCUUGUAUCUGACCAUGAAAAAACUGCGCAGAUCUCUGACACGGCUGAUAUAUUUGAAUGCUCAUUCUUUAAGAUACGGAAUUCGUUCUUAAGGCAUUCGACUUUUCGAAAUCCAUGGAGAAAGGAAAGGAUGGAUGUGCACAAAGGUGAUCCUUAUAACGUUCUAUAUACCAACUGCAUCAAACAUGGGACCGUAUGCGUGUCGUAGACCAAGAAAGCUGUGUCAGUUUGGCUGGUCUGACUUUUUUUAUUUUUGAAUUUUUUACGUAUAUAUCCUUUUAUAUAUUAAAAUUUAUAUGAAUAUUCUUCCAAAAUUGAUAUUUACAUGUAUAUCUUUAUAAAAUACUUAUUUUCUAUGUAUAUCUUUCAUUUUUUUUUUUAACAUAUAUGCCCAUCCCAUCUGACACCAUUAAGAAAUUAGUGGUUUAAAAUUAAAAAUGACUGAAAUACCCUUAAUAGGUAAACAUGAGGGUAUAUAUGCAAAUAAUACUUUGUGAGGGUAUUCAUGCAAUUUCACAUAUUUAUGAGGGUUUACAUACAAAAAAAUCUAAUUCUAUUUUUCUACUUCAACCUGUUUUAGUUUUCAGUGAGAUAUGUUAACUUGUUACCCAAUUUAAAAAUAAAAAGAUAUUUUGAUAAUUUUAAUUAAUUUUUAAUUUAAAUAAAUAUAUUUAAAUAAAUCAAAUUUUAUGAGGGUAGACAAGUAAAUAUUAAUUUAGAGAACAUUCGUGCAAAUUUUAAUAUUUAGAAGGGUAUUUAUACAAAAAUAUUUUUUUUACGUAUAUACCCUCUUAAAUAUAUGAAAUUACAUAAAUACCCUCUAAAAUUGCUACUUUCAUGUAUACCCUUAUAAACCUUUUUUUUAUAUGUUUACUCAUUAAUGAUAUUUUCAUCAUUUUAAUUUUAAGCCGCUAACUUCUUGACAGCGUUAGAUAGCAUAGGUAUACAUACAAAACAAGUAUAUGAUGAGGGUAUACAUACAAAUAUUAAUUUUAAAAGAAUAUUCACCUAAAUUCUAAUAUUUAGGAAGGUAUGUACUCUUUUUUUUUUUUUUUUCUUGUUCACAGGAGUCAAUGCCUGUGUUCUCUGCUUCCGUAAACAAAAUGAUCCAUGAACGUGGGCUGUUCAUCGAAUAGAGUUUACUCAUUUAAUGGUAUUCCAUACUUAUAUCAUUCUUAACGUACACAGGAGAUACAGUACAUAUUAUAUCUUCGGGUAACUCGAUCUUAGGAAACUCCUAUGACUUCGGAAGCACCACAGAUCCAAAAUAUUAAUGCAAUAUGAGCGACUUCGCAUUUCUUGCCGCCAUCUUUGGCAUGCUUUACUUUUUUUUGUUGAACUGCUGCAACUUCCACCUUUAGAUUAACUUAUUCCUCUGAUAACUUUUUACGAGCCCUGUUUUCCCUUGUCACCUCUAUUCUGGCCCCUUAUCCUGGAAAUACUUUCCCCCUUUAUCUUGUCAGUCUUUUCCCACGAUGUGCUACCAACUUUUCCUCUCUUUCUUUCUUCUUUGUUUUCUUUUUUUAAAGCAAAAUUGCUACCAGUGCAUGCUGUGCUGGUCUCUAAAUUGGAAUUCCCUUGUUCCUACUAUAUUAAAUGAGAGAGAAAUUUCCUUGCCCUGUUUCUGAUGGGCUUCUUGCGCUUUAUUAGUUUCACACUCUAUACCAACAACAGGCCAUUUCAGCCCGUACAAAUGAUUGCCAUAUCAUUUCAAUUCAAAUAAAAAUGGUUGCCACAUUAUACGCCAUGCAAAUCACUGUAGUUCCCUAGUCUUCUCAUGAUUCUUCUUGCUUUUUCACACGAAACUGGCGGCGAGCCACCAUGUCACUGGACAAAAGAAAAGUGAAAUACUCUUUAAAUCAUCGUGCAUUCCUUCCAAAUGGUUCUUACAAAAGUUUUAAAAUAACAUGUACUAACAUAAAUUAAAUAAUCUAACAAAUCUAACUAAUAUGCCAAUAACUAAAAGAAAAUCUUCGAAAUCUAGCGCACUCUUCAAUCCCGUGCGAUCAUAUGUCUCUAGAUCUAAAAAAUAGAAAAAAUAUGAUAAUGAGCUAUACUAGUACAAUAAGCAACAUAAUAUCCCAGAGUGGGGUCAAAGCAUAUUAGAUAUUUAAUUAAAACAUAAAGUAAUGACUAAAAAAUAAACCAUCAAUAAAAAUAUUUUCUUUUAAAAUUUAUUAUUAUUUUUACAAAAACUCUGAUAUCAGAAUUUCAACAUUCAUAUGCCAUGGCUACUUAACCCAAUGGCAUGGGUUGUACAAAGUGUCAAAUCCAAUAUUAUUAACUAUCGUUGGCAAUGGUGUCCAAAUACCACUAUUUUAAUCACCGGCGGUGUGGUGUCAAAACCAGUUUCUCACAUAUUAUAAGUCGACAUGGCCAACAAAUAAUCUCCAUUGGCGGUGCCAGAAUAGAUCAUAGCCAUGCUGAGAAUACAUACAUACAAAAUAAAUUUUUCAUAAUUUAUCCAGCCACAUUUUUUAGAUUUCGUAAUAUAUAACAUAAAUUCAAAAUGAUUAUUAACAUGUCUGACCCGAUUAACUAAGUACAAAAUAUCAAAAGUUAAUCAACUAAUAAUUAUUUUAUCAAAUAAUUUUGAAAACACGCUUUGAAGUAUUAUGUUACUUAUCUCUUCUUGCUUAAAUCUCACUUCAGGCAAACAUAUCAGAUACACCUAUUUAAUAUCAUUAAAAUAUUAUUAAUUUUAAUACAAUUUUAGAAGUUAAAAUUAAAUACUACGAUCUCAUGCUUCCGGAUUAGUUUGGUCCGAGCAAGAAAGAUUCAACAGGUUAGAGGUGAAGAUCGAAAGUAGCAGAAUUUAGUUGGGGCUAAAGUAAUGGCCGGUCUACUGCUCGGGUAAUGAGGCGGUUCAAGGUCUCUAAACUGGAUCAACUUAGAUCCGAGCAACAAGAAGAGCAGGGCUUACACUAGGAUCCCCGAGCAUGUCUAGAGAGAAAAAAAAGAAGAGGAGAGAGAAUCUUAGCUCGGAUCUGGAUUUGGUCUGAUCCUAGUCUUGGGCUCGGUCCGAGUGGUUCGGAUCGACCAUUAGAGAAAAGGUCAGAUCUAGCCAGAAUGUGGGCUUGCCUAGAGAGAGAAAGAGAUACAUAAUCUAAGGUUAGUUGAGCUUUUAGGCUUGAUCCACUUAGUUAAGUCCAAUCAGAGGCUUAGACAGGGCCCAACAAGACUGAACUGGGCCCAAAUGUGGCCCACAAUGGGUACGGCCCAACGCCCAUAAUGGACACGACUCAACAGGGCUAAGAAGAAAUACGGCCCAACAAAACUUAAGAUGGCUAAGAUGGGCCCAAGUUUGGCCCACAAUGGGCAUAGCCCAACAAAGCCCAGAGUGACUAAACUGGGCCAGCACAGCCCAACAUGAAUGAGCUGGGCUCAACACAGCCCAAUAAGAGCUCUUCAUGCCGACGACUGAGAAACAAGGAGGAAGGGGAAAGAGAUGGAAGAGGAAGGUGCUCCGAUGGUAGCCGGACCUGGGUGGACGGAGGUCGACGGCCACCCGACCACAGUGGCGGCCGCUGCGGUGGCCGACGGGGAGGAAGACCGAGAGAGCUCUCGGUUUGGGUCCUAAACAGGGGAAGAAGAACAGCAUGAUUCGGCUAGGAGUCGAAAAGAAGAGGGAAGGAGACUUACCAGUGAGCGACGGCGGGGAAGGAUCUCGUCCGAGGGUGGCUCGGUCCAGCAGCUAGUAGCGGCAGAGCUUCCGCCGACGAAGUGGACCUCGGAACAGGGGGAAAUCAAAGAAUACAGGACAGUCGGGUGGUGGUGCUUGGUCGGGGUGGCAUGCCGGCCACCGGAUAAGGAUGAGAAAGAUGGAGGAGAGGGAGAAGAAGACUCGGCGGUGGAUCAAUAGCAGAGGGAUGAGGGGUUUUUAUAAUGGGUUUUCCGAAGGACUGAAGGAGGUCGGCUCAUUCAUCGCCGUGAAUCUCGCGGCCGUUCCUAGCGGCCGCGGGGCUGCCACAGAACCGCCGCGGCGCCUCCGCCCCACCUUGCCCGAGGAAGGCAGAGCAGGGGAUCGCGAUUGCGAUCCCGAUCCCCUGUUCCGCUUCUCUUCUGGGCCAAGGGCUGGAGUCGGCCGCGCUGCCGACUUUAGCCUUCCAUUCAGGCCUCUCACAAGUUUAUAUAAGUACGAACGAGCACCACGAGUAAGAGAUUGCUCAGCUAGAGAAACUCUUUCAAACUGCCAAUGACGCUAUUCACAUUUUCUCAAGUCAUUACCUUAAGAACAAGUUGUGCUAAUUCAUGUUGAUGAUAAAGCUAGUCUCGAAAAGACCAGACUAAUUGCUUGCUUCAGGUUGGAGAAUCAACAUAAUUCUAUUACCAACAAAGGGUUGGAAACUGCCCAAGUUUGGUCCUAGCCAAUUCAAUGUAGGAGCAAGCCCAUGGUCUGUCCAAACCAUCAAUAAUAUUACUAAGCUUGUUGCUGAUGAGGUGGAAAGGGCUUCUUUAUUAUGUUAUUUGUGCUGUUUAGCAGGCGUAUUGCCUCUUUCAAAAAAAAAAAAAAAAAGAAAGAAAAAAAGAAGAAAAAAAAAAAACAUGCUUAUCGCCGAUCAUUUUUUGAUGAGAGCACAUCGCUCACCCCUAUAAAAAAAAAAUAUUAGAAGCCCGCAUUCUUGAUAAUGAGAUGAUCAGCCAUCCCUUUGACCAUUAUUUACACUGAGCUAGUGUAUGGCUUCAUUUUAGGAAGUUUGCCUUUGUGUAAUUGCUAGUGUAUGGCUCACCACCUUUUUCUUUAUCAAAGAGAAAAGGAUUAAUUGUUACAUAUCCCCUACGUUGACAUCAUGAAAUGAUUGUAUACUGAAUCGGAAAGAAAAAUCUGAGGUGUAUGAUUAUUCUCAAAAGAACUCAGAAAUAUAGAUAAAAUAGAUGACUGCAACCCUGCGAAGGGAAAAAAAGAGAGUAGACGAAGAUUAAAGAUGAAGGCCCCGUGAGAAAAAUCAAUCCGCUUGAUGUUAAGUAGCCUCUUUCCAUGAGGAGGCAACCCUGACUCCUAUGCAUAUUAAGCUAGUGUAGUUGUGUGUUUUUUACUUUAAAAAAAGGGGAACUAGUGUUAUUGGUGCAGAUCACACGCAUCCCAUAUUGAUAUAAAUAGUUAAGUCAGCAAUAUCUUCUCAAAACAAUAGAUGGCUAUCUAUUAAAUAAUACGAAGCCAACUAUUACAUUUUAGCUUCCAAAUCCAUCAUAAACAAAAUAUAAUAAAAAAAUUCAAUUUCAUCAUCCAUUAAAUAAUAAAGCAAACACCAGUUCAAAACAUCUAACUCCAAAUAAAAAUAUCAAAACCUAUAAUCCUCAAAAUUCAAAAAAUUACUAACUACAAAUUUAUAGUCAAUUAAAAUACUAAAAUUCUUUUAUACAAUCGUCAAGCUUGUUAGCGCGAACUCCAAACCUGAAUCAUUCUUCGUUCCUAGUGAUCCUAUUCAUCUGAAAAGAGAAUAAAAAGAGAUAUGAGCUACACGACCCGUAAGUAAACCUUAAACUAGCUUACCAGAUCAAGUAUAAGUUUUCAUAUGACUAGCACACCGUUUUAAAAAAAUAAUAAUUAAUAUGAAAAUAAGGCAUUUCAUAGUGUAGUAUAAUAAAGCAAGUCAAAAAGCAAAUAAUGUAUGAAUAUAUCAUCCACAUUUCAUAAAAAUGGCUCUAUGUUUAUAUUACAAAUAAAUUCAUAAAUUAUUCUUCUGCCAAUUAAUACAUCAUAGUUUAAAAUAUUGCUCAUAGAUAUUCGUACUAAUAUCACUUUAUACCCAUAACAAAGCUUGUUUUUGUAAUCGACAAAGUAUCAUAUUUUGUAUGCCAACUUUAUACAUGUUGAUUGGACCUGUGUUUGUAUGAAUUAUAGCUAUCUGAGAACUUUUAAAAUAUUUAUAUUUUUUCUUAAAACUUACACAUAAGUAAAUGAAAAAAAUACUAAAUAGUAUGAUAAAAUCCGUGCUUCAUAAACAUGUUGUUUUCAUCAAAAAUAUUCAUAGAAACCACUAUUUAUAACGAAGCAUAAUUUUCAUAACAUAUAUGUUGAUCCAUAAUUUUUAAAAAAAUAUGAUAUCUUCACUAGCAAACUAUGCAUGAAAAACAUGAUAAUUUAAGAAAUAAUGAGUAUAAGAUCUACUUACCUCUUCCACCGCAAACUUCAAUAAACGAAUCUGCUAAGCCUAUUUAAAAUAUUAAGAGCAAAAUAAUUUCUAUUAGAUGAUUUUUAAUAUAAUUAAAGUAGUAAGAAAAAUAAGACAGUUGAUCAGGUGGUAGCGUUCGAAGACUCCGGCGAACAGGUCCAAGCAACCCGAUCAAUGAAUAAUGGGGCACAGACUUAACAACAGCUAAGGUCAUUUUUUUUUUUUGGUGAAAACGGCAAUUCAUAUAGCUCUAAGUUGAGUACAUCCAGCCAUAUCAAAAUAAAGUAAAGAGUGCAAGGUGGGAGGAAUAUCUCCUAACGAUGUCCAAAUGACCUCUCCGGAGUGCCGAGCGGCAAAUGAGGCGACCCAGUCUGCUGCACUGUUCGCCUCCCGAAAAACAUGUGAAGCCUGGAAAACGCUCGACUCCUGAGCCAAUCUCCAAAUCUCAUGAAUGAGAGGAUGAUCAUCUCCAUAUCUGUCCACUCCCCGAAUCCACUCUAUCACCAUAGAGGAGUCUCCCUCAAGGCAUAUGUGCUCAGCACGAAGUAUCCGCCUCGCAUAGGAUAUCCCCUCCCAGGCUGCCCGCAGCUCCGCACCGAUUACAGUAAAUUCCGGCGCGUGGCAGCCGCCGGCUGCUAUCAAACUGCCGAGAUGGUCCCUGAUAACAAAGCCAACUCCUCCUGACACCUCGUCCGCCGACCUACUACCAUCAAAAUUCACUUUGAGAUGACCAAGGGGUAGGGGUACCCAAGAGACUAGGGCAAACCUGGGCGCUGUGACAGCAGAAAGAGUACCCCAGGUGUCCCUGGCCAUCUCAGAAGAGAAAGUAAUAGCAGUGGUAGAAACCUCCCUGGCAAGACGCAUGGCUCUGUCCACCACCAUCCGCGGGGGUAACCGCCUGCCCUCAAAAAUACCUGCGUUCCUGUCCAGCCAGAUAGAAUGAGCCAAAUAUGCCCAUCGGAUCCCGGCCUCAACCGUGCUGGGCCGCCGCAUGGCCACUCUCAACCAAUGAAUCAAAUCCUGUGUCGACUCGACUGAAUGGGGCAGCAAUGUGGGCGAUCGGCUCCAAAUGCCCCUAGCUCUGGGGCACUGCAAAAGAACAUGAUCCAUCGUCUCCUCAGUCUCCGUACACUCAUCACAACACUGAGUGAUCCUCACCCCUCGCCGUGCUAGUAAGCUCCUGGUCGGUAGGCAACCCCACGCUACCUUCCAGAUGAAGAGCGCCACACGCGGGUAAAUCCGCAUCCUCCAUAUCCAUCCUCCCUCUAUCUGUCGAGCUGGCUCUCGGCUCAAUAAUGUGUGGAUAUCCCUGGCUCGUACCUGCGAUCGCCCUGUCGGCAUCCAGCUAAGGUCAUUCAAUAGGGUUUAUUAUUAGUAGAUUCUAAGGACACUCAACACGGUUGAAAAUGAUUGGAUUGACAAGUGCCCAAGCACGAGGGUGGUUCAAGGUAUUUUUGCAAGGUCAUCUCGGAUCCAUAGAAUUGGUUGGUAGGACCCUUCACCGGGAUCUAUAAGCUUGCUAGAGAGAAAAAGAGGGAGAAGAGAGAGGAAGAGAGAGAAGAAAGAGAUAGAAGGAGAGGAUGUGUUUCUCUUUCUUGGUAGAACAGGGAAUAAGGGAGAGUGGAUAGUGGUGUUUCGGCGAGGUAACCGCAAGCAGCGGUGGCGGGUAGCAGAGAGCGGCUAGCAACGACGGCCUACCAGCUGAAGUUAGCCUAAAAAUAGGGCCGAGUAAGGGGGUUUCUUAGCUCGAUCACCCUCGGAUACCAGCUUACUAGCCGGCUGGGGCUCCGUCUUCGGCCAAAGGCUGAGGCCCUCGACAACGAACGUCGGCGGUGAAGAUAAUCGAAAAAGAGAUAAACAAAUCGAAUAAACAGGAAAAGUAGAGUUCGGCUGAUUUCUGGCUAAUUUCUUCGUUAGUGGCGAUGGUUUAAGGCUGUGGGGAGAAGAGAAACAAAGGGGAGAAUGUUCGGGGUUUUACCUCAGCUUUAGUGGUAUUCUUUGGCCUUGAUUCUUGGUGGCCACAGUGAGAGUAAGCGGGCGAUCAAAAGUAAAAAAAAGGGAGGAAAAGAAUGAAGGUGGUCAAUGAUCAUCAGCGGUGGAGGGUCUUAGUAGGAGAGGGAGCCUAUUUAUAGAGGAGGCAAGCCUCCGGCGGCUCGCGGAAGUUUGACUCGCGUCGGGAGUCGGCAUAGAAUUAGGGAGCCUUCCUCCUUUUUCUUUUUCCAACGGCAGCUUGGAUUGGGGCAAGUUCAGAUCGGCUCAAAAGGACCAAGCCCUGGCUCAGACCAUCACAAAUCAUCUUGGAUAUUUCUAACAAAUCCCUGAUAAAAACCAACACAAAUGCAAAAGACGCAUGCCAUACUCAGCCAAAAUACAAAAAAGAAAAAAAGACACAUCCCAUUAAUUUUGGUUGAAGUACGGAAUAUUUAAUGAACAUUCCCAGCAGCAAGCACUCACAAUUAACUUUGACAAUUUUCAAUUGUUAGUUUGAGGUCAUCCUAUUGUAUCACAACCCCUUUAGCUUAUAAAAAUCCUUUUAAGAAAUAGAUUGCCUUGUUUCAUGUCCUAGUUUCUCAUAAUAACUCAUUUAGAAUGCCACACUGUUGGACGUUCCCUGUCUCGGCUGGAUAGAGCCGUGGAGGUUGAGAUUGGCGCCAAUCCCUUCACUUUCGCAGUCCUUCCAGCGUACCAACCAUCAUCCUAUCUCACCUCCCGAGUCACCAAGACCCCACCCAGAAUCCACCAGACGUUGUAGAUCUCAGGUAUAUACCUCCAUCACAACAUCCAACGGUGACAAAAGCUACAUUACAGGGACCCAAAAGCAUCAGAAAAGCACCUAGAGUCCAAAACUCAGGCCGCCUAAAGAAAACCACCACCUACAGCUUCAGCUCAUCCCCACAUCAAGCACUUGAAUAAGCUAUCCCACCACACAAACACAAACUUCACACAGAAGAGUCCUUUUUUUCUUUUUUUCCUUAGCAGGCCACCAUGGACAUCCACGCAUGAAUAAACGAAAGAAUCUGUACAAUUAAAUGGAAUUUGUCUACCCGGCAAUACAAUUUAUCCGGUCCCACAAGCCCCCCUCUCUUUGCCACUUGCUGCUUAAGGCGAUAGGCAAGCUUUACAAGCCACUUCUGUCUUUAAAUUUGUUUGCGGUAUAUAUCUCCGAAACCCCGGAUGGGUCCCAAAGCUGAAAGAAAAGGAAACGCCAAAUGCACAAAUCUCCAAAGAACUCAAGCCUCCGGGGCCUGCCAUCAUCUGUCGAUGCUGACGAGCUAUUGAAGGACCACUCAAAUGCAUAAACUCUGGCCCACGCACUAUUCGGCAGGAACACCGAGCAUGUGAGGCUUCGUACGGUGCAACUCCAAACUGGACCAGCGGCAUCCACUUAGCCAAAACCCAGCCUCCGUGCACUGGGGUUGCCACAAAAAGCUUCUGUUACGAGCAUGCGGCCAAGCCAAAUGAUAGGAUUGAGACCGAUGGUGCGAAGGCUACAUCGUAUUACAACCGUACUGGCAGACCGUAAUUCUGGAACGACCUGAUCCUCCCAUCCAAUCCAGCAGUUACUAUAACUUGACCCCAUGCAUGGGAGGUGCCCUGGCAAGAGGAUUUUAGGAACUUGUACUGGGAUUUACACAAGGCAGAUGCUGUUGUGGAGCUCGAGGGAAGCUUUUCCUCAGGCCAUGUAGCCGAGCCCUUGGGAAGAAACUCUGAGAUGAACUCAUGGCUUAGAGUGAAGCUACCAGAAGGCGACAGAGAGAGUGUGUUGUUGCCAAAAGAAUCUUCACCAUGAUGGGAACUGUCAUCUGUAGUUCCAGCUUGGUCCAGGAAGACGUCUUCUUGCGAGGGGAGAACCUCGGAAGUGACAGAGACUGGAUUUCUACAUCCCAGGCCAUGCCAAGGUAUUGCAAUAGAUACAUUGUCGGAGAAGAAGCGCUCGCAAGACCAUGUACUCUUCAAGUGGUUGGAGAACGGCACUUCCUGGUUAGCGUGGUCCCAUACAUAGACAUUAGAGUCCUCGCAGGCAGAAAUGAUAUGCCGCCCAUCUGCAGUGAAUGAUGCGGAUAUCUGACUUCCAGCAUUCCGCGGACCUGAAUAUUAGGGUAGCAAGUAUAUGUAAGGAAUGGAGCCCGGCAAAAUGCUGAAAUGAAAAAAAGGAGAUGGCUUUAUGGAGAUAGAAAGAUUUUGUACCUUUGUAUUUGGAGAGGACAUCAAUCCCAUCAAGAAUUCGAAUUUGUGAGUCAGCAGAAGCAACCAGUAGUUUUUGAUGAUCACUUGGGCAAAACUGGAGAAUGCAAAUUAAAGAUGAACAGUCAAUGCACAUGUAAAGUUAACAAGAAGACAUACAUAAGCCAUGAAGUCGGAGUUUCAAAGGAAGCUACCUGAAAGCCUGUUAUCCUCUUGAAAGGAGGCUUCCUUUUACCGAGUAGGGGGAUCUGAACCUCUAGUUGUAGAUUAUUAUCUGAUCCAUAGUAAAAGAAAGCGAUAAGCAACCAUAAACUAACUUGUAUGGCCAACACUACAAAGUGCAUUGCUGCUUUCAAACACAAAUACUAACCAGUACAGACAUUAACGUAGCGCAAUGUAAAAUACAAAUAAUAUUUAAUAUGCAGUUCUAAUUCUGGAGAAUUUUAUUCACAAGCAUAACCAUCAUAUAUUCCUGAUGCUACGACAAACUGCAACAUGACAGAAAAACUUGUUUCAACUUUCAAGUUAGGAAGAGCAGGCAACCACAAUGCUUCAAAAAUCACAAGCCAAAUAUUUACCGAUAACAUUUAUCAUAAGACAAUAAUCUCAACAAACAUGAGUCAGAGGGAUGGGGAAAGCACACUGUGUAGCAAAACUAGCAGUGUGGGCGCCAGUAAAAAUGGCAGCCACAUGAUAUUAUCAAAGGUGUGGCUCACGUUUAAUUAAAAAGACAAAAAUGAGCGAAUAGUCAGCCUGAACAAUUUUUACGGAUUUGGUGGUACUCUUUAUGAUCAAGAGUGAAAAAUGGAUGAUGAAACAUUGCAGAAAAUAAGACAAUUAAAAGGCCUGUACUUCAUACAACAAGGUGAUCUCAACUAUGAAAGCACCAACUUCCUCAAACAAAUUCGCAAGUUGCCUAUAAGUUGCGCAUUGAUGUAUUCACAUAAAAGACAGCAUUUCCACCUAGUCUAUUAUUUUCUAGACACUAGAACAAGUAUGCUUGUGAAUCACUUUGCUAUAUAUGUAAAAUGUGUACUCGUAAAUCACAUAUUCUUUAGGCAUCAGUAUUUGACAUUUUAGACUGAACCAUGUGGAUAUGUGCAUCUAAUAAAUAGAUUGAAUUCUGUUAUGGAAACAACUUCCAGCAACCACAACACUCAAUUUGUUCAACUACUCUCAGCAAAACCUAAAAAACUACAUAGCAUGUCCAUGGACCACCUACUGAGAUCAGCAGAUUGCAAAGCUGAUAAAAGAUGACUGCUGCUUCAACUUUUAGGAGGAAACCUUUAUUAGUGCUUUGGCAUGUGAAUGUUUUGCAAUCAAGCAAUUAUACUAAAAGCAAUAAAGAUCCACCUAAUUUAUCCUGCAACAUCUAACAAGAUGGGGUUCAUAGCUCGGCAUUACUCGAGCCAUGUCAAAAACAUAUUCAGACAAAGGACAUUUAUAAAGGAAAUAACAUUUAGACCAUUAAGUAUACCUGAUGCAUCAUAGAAGCGACAAUCUCCUGUCAAGGUGCCAACUACUACUCCCUACAAGAAAAAAGUACAAGCAUUUAUUUACAUAAUGUUCCAUAACUAUCAAUUCGUCUAAACACUGUUACAGAGAACAGUAAUUAACAUACCUUCCCACCUGGUCGGUAACAGACAGCAGUGACUAUUUCUCUAGUAUCAGUCCAAUCCACUACAUGACAUCCUGGAAUUUCCCAGAUACGAACUUUUCCAUCUAUAGAGCCACUGAUGAAAUAAUCCUCGUUGACAGGAUUAAAUUGAACACAUGUCACUGGAUAUAAUGUAUUAGAAAACAAAAGAGCUUAUGAGAACAACAAACUAAAAAGAGAUAGCAAAUUGCAUACGAAAAGAUAGAUCAACAAUAAUACACCCAUAAAUAUAACAAGUCUAUUACCAUAAUUGCUGUGGCAAAAAACUUUGAGGCAGCUAUUGCAUCCAACUUGCCACAGGUGGACAGUUUUGUCUAUGGAUGAUGACAGCAGAUACUGUGAAAAAAGCAUGCAUUGGCAUUCAAAGAAGAGUUUUUGCAUGGCCUUGAUAGACAUUAAAUGAAGAGAUUUUAGCUUACAAGCACAGGGAUAAGUACACUUUUCUGAGAAGAUAUCUUACCUUAUUAUUUUUGGACCAAGAAAGAUCCAACACAUCACCAUCAUGUCCAUGAAACUCAUGCAGUGGCUUAUCAGAUAUCCGAAAAACCUCUGGAGGAAUGAGAACACAAGCUGAGUCUGAAGUCCUCCUCAUGCUCCUCAACUUAGCCUUUCUCUCCUUAUCAGCAUACAGGGGAGCUAAUUCGGAAUUAUGGUUCACUGUAAAAUAUAAGCAUGAGGGAUCAUCCUCAGGAAAGUCACUUUCCUCAUUUCGUUCGCAUUCCAUCACACGCCACACACGCACGACUCCGUCUUCACCUCCACUGGCUAAGAACUGGCCAUCAGGGCUAAAUUUCAUGGUCAAGAUUGCACCAUCAUGUGCUUUGAUGUCUUCACCCUUGUAGACUGCCGAUAGUUCCUUUGAUCGCUUCCUAUAUGGACGGACUUUAACUCUCUGAAUCCUAGCACAACCAGUCUGCUCCGAACCAGAGCUACAUAAAUUGUUCUCCUCCAUUUGCCUAUCUACAAUGCAAGCCACAGAGCCCAAUCUCUGCAACCACCCAAUCCUUCUCCUCCUCAUCGUCUUGUUGGAACUGCUCAAUGCAUUGUCCUCUCGCCGCAUAAGCUGCUGGAUGAAAGACGGUGGACCAAAGCUUCUCUCGAACUCGUGGAGCGUUACGAUCCUAUUUGAACCAACUUCACGAAGGCUUCUCAAGCUACCAUCUUUACCCAACUCAUCCACGACAAACAUCAUGCCAUCAUCCAAAUUCUUAAUUCUGUACUUGGACUUCUCCUCCGAGGUCCCAUCAUGGGAUGCACUUGGGCCCUCACUGGACCAGCUAGGCACCGAAGAAGACUCAUAUUCCGAACCAGAGCACCUCAGCACCGCUCCCCCACCCAACGUAAUUCUAUCGACUUCCGGCAUAACUUCACUGCCCACCUUGAGUUCCUGGCCAUGAUCGGCGGAGUCUCGACGGGGACUGUGAACCAGAUCCAGACCCAUCCAUCUCAUGAACCUAUCUCGCCGCUCCUGUAUGCUAUCAGGAUUCUUGAUCCAGACCUGGUACCAAGGGUCGGUCGGGGGCCCAUCGAGAUUUCCUUCCGGACACGGAUCAUAGACUGCCGGGCUGCUGGGGCACGAAUCGCUCGCAGACGAUAUGUCUUCUCUCGGGUCGAAGAACACCUCCUCCUCCUCUCCGUCUUGGAAGGCGCAAGGACGAGUCAUGGCUGUCUCACUUGAAAAACAAUGGAAACAGAGAACCUCAUCUCAGAAAUCAAUCCAGUGUCCUUAAAAAACAGCAAGCAAGGUCCUGAAAUCCCUACGUGACUAGAGGGAAAUAAGUGGAUAAACUAAGCGGCCAAAUCUUUUACUAUAAAAAGAAGAAAAAGGGCCAAAUCGAUAUGUCAACGAGCAAAUCUCCCAAAUUUUAUAACCCUAGAUUGCAACACAUGUGCCAACCAGAGGGCCAUGAAUCUAGUCUCUAGUCAUCCCAUUGCAACUAAAAAAAUCCAUUAAAGAAAAGAAAAAAGCUGCCGACUUACUUCAAAUCCAUGACCAAAACCUCAAUCUCCGACAUUAAUUAAGGAGAACGCAGCUCAAACCUCAAAGCGGAAAAACAAAUCAUCGAGAAAACGAAAUCGAGGUGCGAUUUUGACCCAAAAUUGCGAGCAAAAGAAGCUUAGAAAGAAUUCCAGAGAACAGAGCAGGUACAGAGUUAGGACACGGGGGAUGCUCACCAGGAAAAGCAUCGAAAACGCCGUCAAAUCCAAGCAACAAAAUUCUCUACAGCGAUCGCCAGCUCCCCAGUUCCCAGCCCUUUAACCUUCCCCCCUCCCGCCCGAUGGCCCAAAGAAUUCGAGAAAUCGCUAAUAAAAAGGGACUUCUGCGCCGAAAUUGACCUAAAAAAUUAGAAGGGCAUCGAUCUCCGCGAUCAAAUGGCCCGAGGUAGGGAUUUGGAAGCUAAUGAAAGGAAGGUUCACUCUCUUGCCUUGGCAUUAAUCCUGGCCUUCUUUUAUCGCCCAAAAAGAUCCUGGCCUUCUUUUAUUUCUCGUUUCUCUCCCUCGCGCUGCUGCUCCUGCCGCCCUUAGCCUGGCCAUCUGCCGUGUUGCCAAAAUCUCUCUCAUCCGACCAAAUGACGGAAAUCGCCCCCCUAUUUGGCCCUUCUUUCGGUCCUGCCCCUGUACCCAGGCCUUGCUGCUCCGCUUCACCUGGUUGGUUUUUGGGUCAAAUUAGCCACUGCCCACCACUACCACCUAUGGGUUGCAGGAUUAGCACCACACUAUGAGUUUCUUUGUGAUGCAUACUUGCAUUUACUAAUUUGCCCAUGAUGGGGAUUACUUGAUUAAAUUAAUUGAUGAGCAUUGUAAUUACUUUCUUCUUCUUCUUUUUUGAGUAAUGGAUCAUCGUAAUUUUUUAAAAUUAAUUGCAAGGGUUAAUUUUGAUGGUGCUCCCGUGUAAUGUAUGUUGUGAGCAAGGCUUUUCUUCGGCUUUUAUUUUAUGGGUAACACUAGGUCGAUGCACUCGUAAGGUCUAAUGAGUCACAAAAUAGUAUCAUUAAAAUGUAGUGUAUCAUGAAGUUAUGAAUUUUUUGCUAGGAAAAAAGCAAUCAUAUACAUAAAAAUAUCCGAUUAACAACAUCUUGUGGAAAAAAUGGUAUAAGAUAUGGUAUUUACAUGAAGCUCAAAUUGGUUUUAGAUUGACUCUUUUUUUUUCAAUUUGUCUCCAUACUAGUAGGAGGCAUAUUUUGAGAUGGGAUCUUCUACUAGAAGAGAGCUACUUACCCAUAGUAAUAUCCUUUAGUGUCUUUAUAAAGUUUAAGGAAUUGAUGAAAAUAGAUGAAUAAUAUAGAAUGUACAAUUAUAUAAAUGUACCUUUGGGUAGCUUGUAAGAAUAGAUGCAUGCUAUAUUAAGUGCAUGAGUGAAACAUGAAAAAAGAUGCAAAACAAGAAACAAGUGGACUUUAUAAUUCUAGUUCUAGAAAUCUUGAUAAUCAAUGAUGGAGCCAUUCUAUGCCAAACAUAUAGUUAAGAUGUUUGGUGAGCAUCUAUUAUAAUACAAGAAGGGCAACAAAGAUAACUAUGAGUCAGAAUCUCAUUGGCAUAAAGCAACAGUAUCCAAGCACGCCUGACAAUUAACAAAUGCAUCAACUUUUAGAUUCAAUCUAGCAAUCUCUCUUUGGCUAAAACCCAGCCAAACAAUUAUAAAUUAGAAAGGAAUUUGGUGUUUGUUGGCGUGGAGCUUCAUGCUUCAUGCACUUGAGUAUAAUGGCAUUGGCCUUGCAAAAGGUGCGAGGUUUUGUUAGCUUUUCAUUCAUGAAAAACUUGGGCAUCAUCUUUUAAAGAGGCAUCUUAUGUUUACUCGAGGUAUAUAAAACACAAGUAUUCAACAAGAAACUAGUAUUGUGCAUAUAUUGCAAUCAAAAUUGUGCACAAGUGUCACUAGGCAAAAGCUUGCUCGCUAGAAACGGUUGUCCCAUUGGUAUCAUUUUCUACAAUUUAUCCCUCGAGAAAACCAAUUAUGGUUACUUUAAUGAGAUUUAGGCUCUUAUAGGUUGAAUAUUUCAUCUUUAUACCAACACAAAAUCUCUAGAGCAUGUACAAUCUAAAUUAUGCACAAGUUCUACUAGGCAAAAGCUUGCUUGCUAGAAAUGGUUGUCCUAUUACUAUCAUUUUCUACAAUUUAUCCCUCGAGGAAACCAUUUAUGAUUACUUUAAUGAGAUUUAGGCUCUUAUAGGUUGAAUAUUUCAUCUAUAUACCUACACAAAAUCUCUAGAGUACUUAUACAGGAUCUAGAAAGCUAAAUAAUAUCUUCCAAUUAGUUUUUUUUGGAUGAGAUCCGAAGUUGUUACAAAAUAAGUUCCAACUUUCUUUGAGCAUGAGAAGCAUUUGCUAAGAUUGCGGAACUUUGUAAGGCCUGCAAGUUACUCCAUGGCAUAAGUUACCACAUGAGCGAGAUAAACAAAUUUUGAGGUUUCAGAAAUUAAUUGAACAUUUAAGCAACACUCACAUUUUUGAUGAUUAACAUGACACUUGAUUCAGGGUUAUGCGAAAACUUAGAACAUAAAAGACAAUCUCAUGGAUGGAUCAAUCAAUGACCGAUCAUGCCCUUCAACUCCUUAUCCUGGUCUUCACAAGAUCCAAUGGUAUAUAUAUCAGAAUCCAUGCAUAAUUUAUUAACCUCAAAUUGUAGACAUACUCUUGUUACCUCCAAUAGUUGUAUGAGAUAAAAUGAACUCGAGAGGUUUAACAGAGCCAAGCUUGGCAGUUUACGAAUGAGUGGAGGGCAAUUGUUAAGCAUAACAGACGCGGCAAGGGAGAGACACAGUCUUCAUUCCCUGGUAGCGGGUCACGUCAUGGAAUGAUGGUUUCUUUUCAGAUAAAAUUUUCAGUAGAAAAAACCGGCGGUCGCCUCAGCGACUCUUCCUCCGUCGACCGCUGCGGGGUCAACGCCGGGAUUUUGACCGGAACCACUCGGUUUUCGUCUCGUCGUCUUUUGGACGCUCGCAGGGUUUUACACGGACGACUUUUUCCUUCCGUUCGCGAACUUUUUUUCCUUCCCUCGUUUUCCCGAAAUAUCGCGACAGCGGCAACGAAACAAAACGGACGAAGCCCCGGAGCGAAGCCGCGGGCCCCACCCAUCACCGACCGUCCAAGCGAUGGGCCCCGCCGUCGGAUGGCCGAUCUGGCCCAGACGAUCUCGAUGAUGAAAAGCGACGUCAUUGAUCGAUGGAUCCCUUCCAAAUACUAACCUGGCGAUGGUCGUCUGAUUCUAAUCAGAUGGUGGGAAGGAUAUUGGCGUUUAGUAACGUUUAGUACAUGGCAGCCGGGGUGAAAGCCGGAUGAGCGUCGGACGAGACACUCUCUUCUUUUUUUUUUUUUUUUUAGCUAAAAAAAAAAAAGGAGGUAGGGGGGAGGGACAAGCCCACCCCNNNNNNNNNNNNNNNNNNNNNNNNNNNNNNNNNNNNNNNNNNNNNNNNNNNNNNNNNNNNNNNNNNNNNNNNNNNNNNNNNNNNNNNNNNNNNNNNNNNNNNNNNNNNNNNNNNNNNNNNNNNNNNNNNNNNNNNNNNNNNNNNNNNNNNNNNNNNNNNNNNNNNNNNNNNNNNNNAUGUGAGUACGUCACACCUGGCACCACCAAGGCUACCAGCCGACCAGCAGCACUUCUAGACCCCGUGUCCAGGCUAGGGGCAUCCGGUCCCCACAUUUAAUCGACGCCUGCGCGUUUCGAACCUGGAACCACUUGGUUAGAAGCCGAGCUCCGUUCCAACUGAGCUACCGCCUUGGCGGCGACGAGACACUCUCUUCUCCAUUCACUCCUAGCUCUACGACGCUGGCACACAAAUAACCUUUUUGCCUCUCAUAUUAACGGCCAGCUAGCCGGUGACAUGGUUCUAUGACAACGGUAUGCAUAGUUUGGAAAGGCUGUAUAUGAAUACAAUGUUUGUAGAUGCAUAAUAAAAUGUCAGCAAUAUUGUAACUUUGAUAAACAUUCCCAUGCUCGGGCUUAUCGAUGCAUCGAUCACGCAUCAAUCUAUUAACGUAGAGCAAUGGAGGAGUACUUUGGCCAUGUUCUACGAGAGGAUAAAGAAAAAUGGUCGGUGCAUUUUGUCUUAUGUGGUGGAAAUUAUCCCAAGUCAUAUUAGUUUAACAUACAUAUAUGUAUACAUACAUAUAUAUAUAUAUAUAUGCUCUCAUUUAUCAAAAAUAAUGGAGUGACGCAUUGUUUUGAGUUGGCGAUGGAGGGUUUAGGGUACUAUUUCGGGUUCCUAACUCUCCAUUGAAUUUAACACGGUAGGACUGAACUUUUUUUUAUAGCACAGAAAGAUGGCACAAAGGUUAUGUCUUCGUAUCCAUUGUUGAAAUUUGCAGCACCAAAUUAAGCACCAGUCUUGUGCACCAAAUGCAGCUCACCACCGCCAACAACCACACCUUCCAUGUGCCUCCAUGUUCUUAGCGUCGCCAGGGAGGCAACGGACAAGCGAGCCGCCAAUCAGAAGAGAGGCCAUGAUCUGGUAAUCUAAUUAAUAUAUCCUGGCUAAGAUUGGCUGGUAAUCUAAUCAUGAGAGCUAAAAAUGUUUGCCCCCUGCCGGCCGGCGCCUGCCCCGACAACCGCGUUGAUCUUAGCUUAAUAUUUUAUAAUUACUUCAAUUAUUCCCAGUCCUUCUCUUGACUUGGAGAUCUUACAAUUAGCCUGAUGGGAGCCCUGAAUGGUACCCCAGCCCACAAAGUCCAUGUGAUGUAACAUUACACCUUACAGCCUCCCACUUCAUGAAAAGCUGGCCACACUCCCACUAAUCUUUUUUUGUGGAAGGAUUAAGCACAUUUGCUAUAAUAUAGGUUGCGCCCUCCACAAGACUAAAACUAUUAAUUAUAUAGGGUUUAGGAGGUAAUCCAUGAUGAAGCAUCGAGGAAAGGGUCCGACAUUUGUCCACCUUUUGCACGACAAAUCCCUGGAUGGGUCUCCCUCCUCUCACCUUAAUACCCGGGAUUCCUGCAUGUGGUGCGCCACUCUGAGGACAUGUUGGCGAGAGACUUCAUCCACUUUACGGUGCUCGCGGUGCACACUAUGUAUUUCGCUCUAAAAAACUUAUGAGAUUGUUCAGUUUAUUGAAUAGUUUAAUAAGUCUACUUACAAAUAACCCUUUAUAACUAAUUUAUGAUUUUGCCUCUCUUUUCAUAAAUUUAAAAAAAAAAAUCUAAGAGAUCAAAAAGUAAUGAACGGUUAGCGAUGAGAUAUCUAUAGUUAGUUUAAUUGUAUUAGCAUGUAAGGUUUCUCGACACAUCGUACAAGUUUUCCUUCAGUACAGAUGCCAUAUGCUCCCACUCUCCAUGCGAAGAUGUUUUUUUAAAAAUAUAAUUAGCGAGUCCAUGACGUUCACACCUGUCAACUUACUAUUAGCUACCGACUCAUGGACCCCACACAUGUGGGGAGGCCUAGGUGGCCGCUGGAAUUAGGAUAGCUUGGAGGUCAUAUAUUCUUUGUAUGGGUUUUGCCGUACUUGCAUUUCUGUCCAUAAUAGUUGCAAGUAUAGAUAGCAUUAUUGACUUUAUCAACGCUAGUGCAUGGUGGAGAAUGCCAUUGUCCCUAUAAAAAUAUUGAUGCAGCAAAUUACCAAAAAAAAUAUUGAUGUAAGCAAGGACAUGUAAUCAUCCCACAUGCAUGUCUAAUUGCUCAUGACCAACUUGCUUUGCUAUGGACAGCUUAUAGGAGCAAUAGUUUUAAUAUCUUAUAGUGAUAAGGAUUGAUGAUCAAGAAGGAACACCGGACUCAAUGUGGACUAUUUUGAUCACUACGAGUAUUCGGAAGAAUCAUCAAACUCGAUGUAGAUCACUUUGACCCCUAUGAGUGUCGAAGGAGAUCAUUAAACUCAAUGUGGAAUACUUUUGACUGAUACAGAUAUCCGAAAGGAUCACUAAACUUGAUGUACAACACUUUGGCUACUACGAGCAAGGUUGGACAUGGUUCAAAAGCGAGAUUCGCCAUAUCGAAAAACCGAGUUACAUACCAAAUUUUCGGAGGCCAUAACUUGGUCAUAUGAUGCCGGAUUGAGAUGAUUUUUUUAAAAAAAAUGGGUAUCUUUUCGAGAUCUACAACUUUGGGCUAACAUCUAAAAAGUUGAAUUGGGCCGAAAUUUUAUCGUUUAGGACACGAAAUGGAUAGGUCAAACCGAAAGUUUUCUUUUCGACUAAGAUUUUGACCGAGCGUAGCUCUCUAUCAGAGAAGAAUCAGGUAAAGCGAUAAAAGGCAGAGUUGAUAUAUAAGUCGAGAUCUAUCUUCUUAAGAAUUUCAGAUUUUUCUAAAAUAUUUCUAAAUUUUAGCAUUUUAUAGAAUAUUUUUAUUAAUCAUAUUUAUUUUAGGAUAUCUAGUUCUAUUCGAACUAGAAAAUGAAUACAACCCAAAUUGUGAAAGGAGGACCUCAUUAGUAUUAUAAAUAGGGUAUAUAUAUCUAAGUUUAAGAGAUGGAAAAAUCAACGAAAGAAAAGGGGACUUAAAGUUUUACUUUCGAGAUUUUUCAAUUUUUUCCAUUUUUUUUUGAAAGAUUCGAGUUGAGUGGGUUGAACAAUAAAUUUCUUCUUUCCGAUCGGAUCAAUCAGGCUUAGAGUUUUUGUUGUGCAUAUUUUGCACCAUAGGGGUUUAUGCAUGAUUAGACAAACGACGCAUCGCCUAUCCCAAUCAUGUUGCCAUGCUUAAUGGAUGGAAUAUAUAUCAAAUAUGGUGGGCAACAUGAUGGGUGACAGUCAUCCAUAUCAAGAUAUAUAAUGCCUGUCUAAUCAUGCAUGAUUUUUUGUGGUGGAAAACAUGCAGCGUAGAGUAUUCCGCCUCCAUAAGAGUCAGAGUAACAUGUAUUAGAAAAGAUGCAGUGCACGUAUAAAACAAUUAGACUCAGAUGCCCUAAGGUGAUUCAAUAAAUGGCUCAAUCGAAUUUUUCCCGUAUAUCCAACUCCUCUUCUCCGUUUCCACGAAAAAAAGAAAAGAAAAGAAAGAAGCGAUCAGUCCUCCUCAUGAAUCACAUGCAGCAUGAGAUAUCGCAUUUUAUAGAUAUACAUGAGAAAAUAUGGAUACAAAUAAAGACUUCAUAAUCAAUGCGAAAACAGACGUUCUAUGCAAACGUACGUGCAUCGCUAAGUUAGGAUGGAGCAUUUAUAUGCUGAAAACAAGAAUCCAUGCAGUCACACGUCUCUAAAAUCCAUUAAGUAGACUAGCGAUUUGUUUGACAAUUUUUUCCAAGUACCAAGCAACGCACAUGUCACUCCUCAUCAAUAUCCGAACAGUUACUAGAAAAUCUCUGAACAGAGCAUAUAAAUAACUGAUGGCCAGUAAAGAGGGAAGAGAUGCAUACAUCGAACUCACCUAAAAAUUAAUUGGCCAGCUUUGACUUGCUGCUCGUAAUGAUUAGAAAACCGUACUGUACAUAGAGGGAUCCACCGAACGAUGAUCUUUUACGUGAUUUAUCACAUCCAGACUACGUGGGCAUGCCGCAGUCCACAUGCAUGAUUCCCUCGAUCCCACCUUGGACUGGAGACUGGCCUAACUCCAAAGCCCCCUGAUACGGUUGUGUUGAGGUGGCAAAUUCUCAUCCCUAGAACACCAAUCAAAUUUAGAUACUUCGUGACCCCUCUUUCAUGUCUAAUUCUUGCCAUCAGAGCCCAGACACAUGUAGAGAGAGAGAGAGAGAGAGAGANNNNNNNNNNNNNNNNNNNNNNNNNNNNNNNNNNNNNNNNNNNNNNNNNNNNNNNNNNNNNNNNNNNNNNNNNNNNNNNNNNNNNNNNNNNNNNNNNNNNNNNNNNNNNNNNNNNNNNNNNNNNAUAUAUAUAUAUAUAUAUAUAUAUAUAUAUAAAUCUAUCUGGGGCAGAGAUGAGGAGAGAGAGUAGUAACUGUUGACGUGAAAGCCAUGCAGGUGAGCAUGGGAACUGACCUUUCUUGCGAGCGUGGCAACAGCCCACACAACGGAGACAUGACAGGGAUUGGGAGAUCUGAGUUUAGUUCAGUGCAAUCAAUAGCUUCUCCCUCUAGAAUGUCUCUUUUCAGUGAAUGGAUGCAGUGUCUCGAAUCUUAGGCUGCAGGGCAGUGGACCUGAGCCAGCCCUGAACUGGUCGAGGCAUGGGCCAAGCUCAGCUCGGUCCGCAUUUGGCCCCAGUUCCCCAAGCAGCCAACGGCAUAUUGAGUUGAGCUAGGUGGCCAAGUAUAAGAGUUUGCUAUGGUGGUGUUUCUCUGCAUUAUUUCUUGGAUAAUAACUACAAAAAAUUGGCAGAAUAGGUGGUGUUUCUCUGCAUUAUUUCUUUUAAAAGUAAAAUUCCGGGACGUUAGAACCCAUUUAUCCAAGUCGGCCCUCACCCUAUGAUCUUCCCAUGACUACUCCAUGAUCUUGUGAAGAUUACAGGAAAGGGCAAAUUAGCUUCAAUUCUAAUUUCAUGCAACUUGCCAAUUGUCAAAAUGAUGCUUGAAUACUAAAGUUACGCAUAUUGGUUUACCUUGAUGGCUUCGAACUUGAUACAAAUUUAAUAACUUAAUUAGGGAUGUAUAGGUAAUUUAGCAAUAUCACUGUGGAACAUCCAUGGAAGAGUUUUUGAUUAACAUGUUCCAUGUCGAAUGUAGAAUUGUAGAUACUCCAAACAACUUGCAUUUCUAUUGUGAAAGUUAUAAUGCAGGUGGAUAUUAGUUCUAGCUGGUUUAUUUAGCAACCACUAUAUAAUCUAUACACAUUAAAAAAACCACAGUUUUGAAAUUAUGGAGGUUUUUUUUUUCGAAUUCUAUAUUGUUUUCUAUGAUGAAAAUAUGUUUUCUUUGGAUUAUCUAUAUAAUCCUUGCUAUAUCAAAUAAAAAAAAUAAAAUUUUAGUUGUAAACAAAUAAGGGAGCUUUCAUCUAUUACAACCAUUGCAAUAAAUAAAGAAAGCUAAAAAAAAUCUUGACUUGUAAUUAGGGGUGGCAAUCGGGUCGGGUCAGGCAUAAACAGGUCGAGUCAAAUACAGGUCGGGUCAGAAAACUAUAAAUCUGGAUCCGACCUGUUUAUUAAACGGGUCAGGAAUUACAAACCUGAACCUGACCUGUUUAUUAAACAGGUAACCCGACCCGACCCGUUUAACCUGUUUAAUAAACAGGUAAUCUGUCUACCCAACCCGACCCGAUCUGUUUAACCUGUUUGCCCAACCUGACCCGUUUAACCUGUUUAGACCUGUUUAAUCUGUCCAACCCGACCUGUUUAGACCCGUUUAACCUGUUUAGACCUGUCUAACCUGUUUAACCCAUUUAACCUGUUUAACCCGUUUAACCUGUUUAGACAUGUUUAACAUGCCCAAUAGUUAAACGGGUUAAACGGUUUAAACGGGUCAGACAUCUAAAACCCGUAUCCGACCCAAUUAAUAAAUAGGUUAAACGGGUCGACCUGUUUACGACCCGAACCUAUUUAGGCCAAACCCAAACCUGUUUAUGGCGGGUCGAAUACGGGUCGGGUUGGCGGGUCGGGUCAUAUUUUGCCACCCCUACUUGUAAUAUAAUAAGAAAAAAAUAGCAACAAACAAGUAAGAAAAAGAUUGUACCCAAAAAAUUAUGAUAGAAAAUUAACUGAAACAAUUGAAAAUACUGUUUGCAAACAAAUAGGAAAAAAGUCUAAUAGAAUAUUUUUCUCUUUUAAUUCCAAUUGAAGUUUUUUUUUUCUUUUUUUCAUAUCAAAAAGAUGAAUUUUCUUUUUAUCGAGAUCAUGCCAAUAAAUUCUUUUAUUUCUAUGAUUCUCUCACCACCAUUUUGUAAAAUUAAACAAAUAAGGAUAAAAAUAGAGAAUGAAAAAAAACAUGCUCCAAAAGAUUAAGAAAAACAUUAUAAUUUUCCUUAAUAUAUGUUAUGUAGGGAUUGUUGUAUAAUUUUUCUCAAUAUCGUCCCAUAAAGGUAGAUCUGACCACAUGUUCCGCCGGGGCAAGUAUGGGCCGGGCCCGGGUGUCAGGCAAGUGAACUUUUUCGGCCCAAGCUCAACCUCAGGCUUAAAUCCAGGGCCGGAGCCAGCCCGAUAUAGUUUUCCCAUGCCUAAAAUCCAUUUUUCUUUUUUCUUCUUUCUUUUUUCUUUUUUCUUGAUGCUAUUGCUCCCGACUCUGCUGCUUCGUCUCUUCUCCUCCUCGACAUGGAUUUGAAUAUCAUUACUGAUAUUCAAUGGCCCCGAGGAAGCCGGUCAAGAACUGCGAAAAGGGUACCGGAAGCGAUCCAAGAUUCCGAUCCCACCGCCAUGGAAUCGAGCAAGAUCAGGCCCCGGCCCUUCGAGAUCCACAUCGUGACGGCCGCCGACUCCCCGGCGUUCUCCCUCCUGCGCUGGGCCCUCCACCGCUCCCCCGUCGUCGGCCUCGACGCGGAGUGGAAGCCCUCCCGGAACAACUACCACCAAUACGGCGAGAGCGAAGGCGGUGGCGGCGAAGCUACCUCUGCUCCCGGCCGUACGCCGUCUUUCCCUACUGUGUUACUCCUUCAGAUCGCCUGCCGGGUCCGCCGCGAGCCGUCGGAUCCGGCGGUCGGCGACUCGCCGGUGUUCUUGGUGGACCUUCUGUCCGUCCCUCUCCCCGCCCUAUACGAGGUGCUUAGGGAAAUGUUCGUGGCUCCGUCGGUGCUGAAGCUUGGGUUCAGGUUCAAGCAGGACCUCGUCUAUCUCUCCUCCACCUUCUCCUCCCAAGGCUGCCGUCCCGGCUUUGAUAGAGUACUCCCUCUCCUUCUCUCUCCAUUUUAGCUAUUUUCUUGAAGUUUGGAAUGCGAAUGUUGGUAAAAUUUGUAACUUAAGGUUGCGCUAUAUGGGAAUCACGAGUCUGUUAGAAAUUUUGGGGUCAGUCUAGAAAAAAAAAUAAUGUAUUGGUGUAGCCAAAAUAGGUACGUUUCACAUUCUUUGUUGGACUCCUAUCGAUAAUAUUGCGGUGUUUUGCAUUCAUUUAUUCGUGUGCCUAAUGCGUUAGCUGAGCUCUUGCAUUUCCAUGUUGUUCACUAUUUCUUUGUGUCGGAUCUUUUUUUAAAAAAAAUUAUUGUUAUUUGGCUACAUCCACUUUGUUAAUAUAUUCUUAUUAGGUGUCAGUUGAUUUUCGGUUCCCGUUGAAUUUUUUUGGGGCAUGGUUGAUAGAAUUGAUUAAUUUCUUCCAUACUGUUGAAAUGCGGUCCAUUUCUAUUCUCUUGGAUUUUUUACCAUUGCUAUUCUGGGAGAUACGCUAAACAUUUAGUCACACAAAGUAUUUUUACAUUGCUCAAUUCUUCUAUUGGAUUCUUAUCUGCUAGUUUUUGUCUUCUUGAUGUAUCUCACGAGCUCUUAUUCUUGGUCUCUGUCUCGUUUUACAACUUAACUGCAGGCCUUUAUACUUUAUAAUUGUCAUGAAAUGCCAAGUCAUCACAUGUCAUUCACCCCGUCAAGAAAGAAAAAUCUGUCAUCAACUUUUUGCCUAAUGUUACAUGGAAUUUGUGUCAUUUGUUUGAGGAAAAUGCUUUAAUUAGUCGCAGUAGACCUACAAGUAAAUGUGCAUUAUCUUUUUUCUCCACCCCUUUAUACAAGCAAAGUUCUGUGAAAUUUCCACUGUAUGCUGAUUUUUUAGGUGCAUACAAGGAUUUCACUUAACAAUGCCUGUGGAAUCAGGAGUUACUUUUAUUAAAACAGGUGACAUGGGUGUUUUCAAUUGUGACAUGAUUCUUGGUCUUUUGUUUAGCCUCAGGGGAAAAAUAUAGCUGGUGGAGAGGUGCCAAGUUUUCAUUGUAUGGAGAUCAGUAAUAAAGUUGGAAUAUGCCUUAUUAAGAAAUCCAUACUUGUUGAGGGCAAAUGAAGUGAUAAGGGGGUUGAGUGAGAAGAAUUGACCAACAGUAGAUCAAGAUGAUGUGAUCAGGGACGGUUUUCUGCUUAGGAAGAGGUGCAACAAUGACUUCCGUUAAAGAUUAGGAUCAUCUCCAUCAGUGAAAUAGUAGUAUCUUUUAGAAUAGACAGGUGUUUGAUGUACAUAUUUUUUUAAAAAAUAUCUAGAAAGGUUCGCCGAACUAGUACUGAAGGGCGUACCAUCUGGCGAUCGGUACAGUGCGGUACGGGUCCAUACCAUGCCGUUCUGGGACAUACAGAAAUAGGAAGAGCAGAAGAGGGAGAGGGAGGAGAGAGAGGAAAAAGAGAGAGAGGGUCGAAUAGGGGAAUCUGCAUAAUAUAUUUUUGAAAAGAUUUUAGGGCCUUUUGAUGAAUUGGAUUAUAGGUGACAUGGUCUCAUUUAAGUUAAAAUGCCACAUCGGCCUCUUAGUGUUGGUGCCCACAUGGGACCAACCAUUAGAGAAGGGAGAGGAAAGGAGAAGGGAAAGAUGUGCCCGCCAAUAUUGCAAUCCUUGGCAGCAAGUUGGGAGAAUUCUUGUGGAUCAUAAUUUUAGGAUUGCUUACAUGGUGUUGUAGGACUCGAAUAUGGAAAUAUGGUAAAAUAUUUUAUUUAUUUGUUAGAUGUGGCAAUUUUUAGAAUAGAGAGGUGUUCGAUGUAUAUAUUUUUUAAAGAUGUCUAGCAAGGUUCACUAAACUGGUAUCGGAGGUUAUACUAGCUAGCGACUGGUUCGGCAUGAUACGGAUCCGUACCAUGCCGUUUUGGGUGUACAGAAAUAGAGAGAGCCGGAGAGGGAGGGGGGGAGAGAGGGCGGGAGAGGGAGAGGGAGGAAGGGAGGGAGAGGAACGGGGUGAAAGAGAGGGUGAAAGAGAGAGAGCUUGAAAGCCCUCCUUAUCAUCGUCAUUAGGGGCAAGGUGCUCCGAAUUUAUCAUGGGCAUCGGUUUUGUGNNNNNNNNNNNNNNNNNNNNGGGGGGGGGGUGGGGUUAACCGAAUCGGGGAGAGGGUUUAGUCAAAUGGUGGAGCUAGUUUGACCUAUUUACUGAACCGACAGGGCGAACCGUCCUGGUUCCUUGUUGGUUCGGUUUGAUAUGGCCAAUCAUGGUGUCUAGGAUCCAUAAGUAACUACCAUUUUAUUGUAUAAGUAGGCCUUAAUUCUAACUGGCAAUGCCAUAGAGAGCUCUCUCUUGAGAGAGUGAACGAGGCAGAGAAGGGAAAAAGGAAGAAAAUUGGAGGAAACCUCAUUGAUCGUUUGGUCUUCUAUAUUAGAACAUUGAGUGAUAGAAGCUAUCUAUUUGUAUUUGAUUUCACUUCUUAGUUUGAUACAAUAAUGUCAAGGGCAUGCCUAAGGUGUGCCUGAGGUGUAAGGCACUCACCUUACGUUCGCCUCGCUAAGGCAUUGAGAUGUAAAAAGAGGAGCAUCUUCUUGAUUGUUUUUGUUGUUGUGUAUAUUGCUGUGGUUGUUUGGCUGUGUGUUAUUUAUUGUGAUGAUUGUGUUUGUAUCUUUUUUUUUCUUUUUAAGUGAUUUUGUUGUAUGCGUGUGUGCAUGUUGUCAAAUAUAUUUAACAUUGUGAGUUCAUUAUAUAUGUAUAUGUAUGGACAUAUCUGUAAAUGCUUAUAUGUAUAUGCAAAUACAUAUAUACAUAUGCACACACAUGUAUGCAUUAAUGCCUGUGUAUAUACAUUAUUUGUACAAGCACAUAUCACAUUACUUUAAGUCGCGCACCUUGCUUUGCACCUUGUGCUUAGGCUUUAAAGAGACCUUGGUGCCUUGGUGCGCCUUGACUCUUUAACAACUUUAUUUUGAUAUGUUUUUUACUAUUGGUUGCCGACCUCACCUGAACCCCCUUUUUUCUUAUCGGAGCUACUGGCGUUAACAGUUUUAUAAGUGACCUGUCAUAUAACAUGUCUGUACUUUCUAAAAUAAAAGAAUACGAUCAUGUCAGUUUUAGAUUAUAGAUGUGUUCUUUGGUGGAGCUAAUUGUUGAGUUAUGGAUCUUGAUAUGAGAAAUUACUAAGUUGGGAUUGGUAAUGUUGCUUUUUUACUUCAUUCUCUUCCUUUUUGAGAACCAGGAUGGUUUUAUGGCUAAGGAUUUGCUUAUCAAAUUUUGGAUUUGAGCCUAAACUCAAGCUCUUUUCUCCAAUAUGAUUCUCUCUAUUAUCUCAUAAUUCUAUAUUAAAGGUCUAUGCUGGAGGUAGUGGAACAAAUUUUCUGUCAAUUCACGAUGCUUUCAUACAAGGUAGUAUGUCUUUUUCAAAUGGAGACUACUUUUGUGGUCUUUUAGGAAAGAGUGAUGAUUUAGGAGAGUAUAUUGUGUGUAUUGUUGGAAGAUGGCUUAACCCUUGCCAUUGAGCUCUGAGGGAGACCCAGGUCUGAGAUUGAAAUUUUGGAACAUUGAUUUAAAGAUUACUUGGAGCCUGAUCUGCAGACACAAUUGAAUAGACAAAUUGUUUUGGAUGCGGCUUUUUUUUUUCAUCAUUUGAAGGAUAUUUGCCUUCCAGGAAAGAAUGUUGAUUCCCUAAUCUUAUGGAGAGAAAGUUGUUGCUUGGUCAAAUCUUUCCAUGACAGCAUAAAAUACUGAUAGAAAAUAAACAAAACAGGAGGGGCUUCAACUUGGCUUGUCCUUGCCAUCUUUGCCAUGCGGAGCAACAUGGCACCCUUAUCAUUGUGUUAUUUCUCGUGCUCGAGCAUGGUUGCAUAUUUCUGUUGAAUUUAUUUGGGGAGCUUAACACUUGGUCUUUUGUUUGUCUGUCAUUUUAUAAGCAGUUGACAUUUUUCAAUUAGUCAAAGUACACAGUUAGUCUUGUGUUUUGCACACAGUUAGGGUUGUUUCUUUUCAUAGUUAUCCUUGUUCU
rnacentral:lncRNA from 1 species